UGGCUCGCUCGCCUGCCUUUCCGGCGUCGUUUUGAUGUUCGAUCGGACGUACCAGUAGCCUAGUGUCUGUCUGUCUGUCCAUGAGUACUACUCUUAUUAAGCUGACCACCCCAUGUGGUGUUUGUACCGGUGCGGGUCGUGGUAGAGUUGAUGAGAUCUGGUAGGGAAUUCUUUCUUCCUUCUCGUAGCGGUGACGGUGUUCCGAGACAUAUAAUUAUGUGUUGUCGUUCCAACUUCGUCUGUUUCCAUGCCACUUUUGUGCCGCUAGCUCAUGAUCGUGGUGGCGUGUCUCGUGUUGUCUUUGGCGCUGGGCCGGUCGGUCACGGCUUCGCAUCAUCAGGUCGACCCGCCCACGAUGCCAUGAUCCGUGUGAGCAUGCACGGUGGAGUUUUGGGGGUUUGCGGUGCGCCGCGCUGCGGCGGCACAUGGAGCUUGGACGGAUGUCGGGCAAGGAAAAAUAUCGCCGCGAUCGAGGUCUGGUGCUCGGAGCCAGAGCGCAGAGUCCACUUUGAUCUGGACUCUUGUCUGUGGCGCGCACUACUGUAUCUCGAGCGAGCGGAACACGCCGACACCGACACAGGAAAGGCUCACGAGGCGCCCCACUGUGCCUCUGAUCUCCUCGGGGGCCGCGCGGUUCAUGACGGGACCAGCCGCGGGCGCAGCCAGGUGCGGGCACGGGAUUGGGGGUACCAGGCGGUGGUCUUCGGCGCGGUCUGGGCCAACGCAUGGAUCCACGAGCAUGGUUUGGGCCUCACGGGCCCUUGUGCUCGCCGCUCGUUGAGCGUGGGCUGGUGUUGUGCCUUGGAGGUGGCACAUUUAGCAGUUACAUCUUCUCUUUCGAUGCUAAAAAAAAAAGCAGUUACAUCUUCUCUCUCAAAAAAAAAUCAGUUACAUCGGCACGUCUAAAGAAAAGCAGUUACAUCGGCGAAGGAAAAUUCAAAAGCGAAAUCAGUAGUUCAGGGUUGUUCCGCAACUCCUUUCAGGGUUGUUCCGCAACUCCGCCGGCGAGUCCGGUCCGAGGUUGCGGAGCGAGGGAGCGCGUUGUAGACGAAGUAGUCGAACACGCAAAAGUAGAUGAACACAGAAGAAACUAGCUUUAUUAAUCAAUGAUCAACUGUUAUAAUGAUUGCUCCUCGUCGCUUUAUAUAGGGGUAGGGGGUCAAGGGAUAAGUGGGUAGAUGAACACAGAGAAAUAUGGAGGAGACUAGCUUUAUUAAUCAAUGAUCAACUGUUAUAAUGAUUGCUCCUCGUCGCUUUAUAUAGGGGUAGGGGGUCAAGGGAUAAAUACCCACUUAACGUAAAGUGUGGAACCGGGAGGGGCUAUCCCAUGCGAUACGCACGCAGUCGCUAGCCUCACGACGUGGGCCGGUUUCCCAACACUCCUCCUUGGGUAAUUAUCCGUAUAUACAUGUCGCAAAACUUCAAAAAACCCAGUGGGAAAAAACAUGAAGAAAGAGCAUACAUUAUACGUUGUUGUAUUGCACGAAUUGUCUCGUCAAAAACCUCGCGUGAGAAACAUGAGAAAAACUCAUUCAAGGGAAAAAGAGCACAAUCCACUCAACCAUCAAGUUGAGUACUCGAUCAUCAAGAUUGAGAUUUUAACCACGAGUUUGUGAAGUUUCUCCCCCUGAACCUUGCAUCUCUCUAAGUCUCAUCAUACCGAUUCCACGCACACACCUCUCUAAGGUUGAUGCCGGUAAUGAUUUAGUGAACAUAUCAGCAAGAUUGUUACAGGACUUAGUGUGCAAAACUCUCACCUCGUUCAACUACUGCAGCUCAUGUGCAUAGAAGAACUUGAAACUAAUAUGCUUUGUGAGGUUACUCUUCACAUAACCCAUCUGGACUUGUGCAACACAAGCAGCAUUAUCUUCAUAGAUAAUAGUAGGGGUUUGUACGGUGUUCAGCCCACAUGUCUGCUGAAUGUGGCCGAUCACUCGCCAAAGCGAUACACAUUCUUUUGACGCUUUGAAUAGUGCCACGAUUUUCGAGUGGUUCAUGGAAGUCGACACAAGAGUUUGCUUGGACAAGGAAAAUGCAGUUCCACCACAAAUAAAAACAUAUCCAGUCUGCGAUUUGCAAUCAUGCGGGUCCAUAGGUACCCAGCAUCGGCAUAUCCUAUAAAUAGAUAGGUCUUGAUUCCUUCUAUAAAACAGGCUAAGAUCUUUGGUCCCUUGCAGGUAACGAAAGACGUCCUUGACACCUUUUCAAUGUCUUUUGGUAGGUUCAGAACUAUACCUCGCAAGCAAACUGAUGACGAACGCAAUGUCUGGUCGUGUACAGUUUGCGAGGUACAUGAGUGCUCCAACUACACUCAGGUAAGGAACCUCUGGUCCCAGAGUUUCCUCCCGCUCUUCCUUUGGCCUGAACGGGUCCUUGUCUGGCUGUAAAGAUCUCCCAACCAUCGGGGUCUUAGAAGGAUAUGCCUUAUCAAAUCCAAAUCUUUCCAACACCUUCUGGGUGUAGGCCGCCUUGUGCACUAGAAUCCCAUCAGGGGAAUGUUCAAGUUGCACACCUAGACAGAACUUGGUUUUACCCAAAUCCUUCAUCUCGAAUUCCAACAUCAGGUAGGAACUCACUUCCUCAAUAUCCUCAGGCGUACCGAUUAUGUUUAAAUCGUCCACGUACACCGAGAUUAUACAGAAUCCAUCUUGGGAUCGCCGUAUGAAAACACACGGGCAAUCUUUAUUGCUCGUGUAGCCCUUCUGAUGAAGGAAAUCACUUAAGCGAUUGUACCACAUUCGACCCGACUGUCUGAGUCCGUACAGUGCCUUUUGAAGUUGAACACUUUAUAGACCCCUAUUUGCUCUAUCAUGGUUCGGAACAGUGAUACCUUCUGGAACCUUCAUGUAUAUGUUCGAAUCCAAGUUACCAUACUGAUAAGCAAUGACAAAAUCCAUUAGUUUCAUUUUCAAGCCCAUGUUUACUGCCAUCGAGAUCAAGUAUCUAAAGGUAACUCCGUCCAUGACCGGGGAAUAAGUCUCCUCAAAAUCGACACCUGGUCGUUGAGUGAACCCUUGAGCGAUGAGCCUUGCUUUGUACUAUACUACCUUAUUAUUUUCAUCUCUCUUUCGAAGAAAAACCCACCUAUGGCCAACAUGGCGAAUGUGGGGAGGAGUUCGACAAACUGGUCCGAACACCUUCCUUUUGUUGAGAGAUAAUAAUUCAGUAGUAAUUGCCUCCUGCCAAUCUUUCCAAUCCGACCUUUUCUUGCAAUCAGCGAGCGUGUUAGGCUCAGGUUCGAGAUCUAUGAUUGAGGCAAUUUUUGUAGCAAAGUUAAUGUCGACAAUCACCGUUGCUCGGUUCAGGGACUCCCCCGUAUAAAUAUAAUUUAUGGACAUUUCUUCAUGGGGCGCAUCCGGUGCAAACACUUUCUCUACCAAAUUUCCCAUUAUGGGAGCAAGGUCCUUUAGAUUUCCCGCGCCGAUGUGUGCGCUCACAUCUCCGCUGGGUGUUUCCCCUAUGGGAAAGUUAAGUCCGGAAUUUUGUGCAUUGAAUUUUCCGUACUUGUGCCAGGUCUCGACUGGCUCCCCGUUUCAAUUUUGGAUACUUUGGCGAUAGGCUGUAAUAAAUCUCUCUUAUCAUUUUUCGUCGAGCGUCCCCGAGUACUUGGGAUUUGAGAAGCCGGAUUUCUCGUCCUUUUAGGCCUUUGGACGGGAGCGGGUAUAUCAUCAUUUUUCUUUGGUAUUUCAACCCUUUUCGGUGCAUUGCGCGUGUGCACAUGCGAUUUUGUCAUAGUCUUUAAGUCACUAAAGUGGUUAGGCAGUUGAUUUGCUAAAAACUGCAAAUCUAUUAUCUUUUGGACUUCUCUCUCAGUCUCAGUAGUGCGCAGGUCAUGAGCGUGGAUCCCCGUGGCUUGCCAUGUGAUUUCUUGACUUUUAGCAUCAAGGGGUUGAUUCUCUCCUCCUAAAAUCGGGAAAAAAUCCUCGUAAAAAAUGCAAUCAGCAAAACGAGCCGUGUGACAGUCACCUGUCAUGGGGUCCAGAUACCUGAUUAUGGACCCAGUCGCAUAACCAACGUAUAGCCCCGACUGAUGGAGCGGGCCCAUCGCCGAUCACUGAGGGGGUGGUAUUGGUACAUAUACCUGGCAACCGACCCUACGAAGGUGGGUAAUUUUCAGUGCCGACCCUUGCGUAAGUUGAACAGGAGAGUGGAUGUUGUAGGCCGACGGUCUAAAGUUGAUGAGAUUGGCCGCGUGUAACACCGCAUGGCCCCAACAUGUAGUUGGUAAAUUACAACCCUGAAGGAGCAGUUCGGCAAUGAAUUUAAUUCUUUUAAUAAAUGCCUCGGCAAGUCCAUUUUGUGUAUGAACAUGCGGUAUCGAGUGCUCAACUUUGAUUCCCAUUGUCAUGCAAUAAUCAUUGAACGCCUUUGAAGUAAAUUCUCUGACGUUGUCCAUUCGAAUAGACUUUAUACGAUAAUCAGGGAAAUUAUUCCUCAUUUGUAUGAUCUGAGAGAUCAACUUUGCAAAGGCAUGGUUUCGUGUUGACAGCAGGCAACAUUGGACCAUUUAGAGGAAGCAUCAAUGAGCACCAUGAAGUACCGAAACGGCCACGUGAGGGGCUGAAUUGGACCCCAUAUUUCCCCUUGGAUACGUUCCAAGAACGCGGGGAUUUCAUCCCUCACCUUGAGGGGUGAUGGCCUAAUGACUAACUUCCCCUUAGCGCAUGCAGAGCACACGAAAUCAUCGGGAUUCAGGAAGUUCUUCAUGUUAACAUUGUGACCAUGCGAGUUGUUAAUUAUAUUUCUCAUCAUCCUAAGUCCGGGGUGGCCUAACCUAUCGUGCCAGAGGCAGAAGAGUUCAGAUCUUCUAAAGACGGUCUUGAGGAUAGUGUACACGGGCGGUGCUACUAUUUUAGUGUAGUAUAACCCUAUGUCAAACGAAGGAAGUCUUUCAAUAACAUGUUUACCACUUGCAUCCCGCUUUGUGAUGAGUAGGCACUCCUUGCCGUUUUCAUCAUCGGUAUCAAUAUGGAAACCAUUAGCACGGAUGUCUCUCAAGCUCAAAAGAGUACGAAUCGACUCCGGGUACAACAAUGCAUCAUUAAUGAUCAAACUUGUUCCCAUAGGAAGUAUAAUAGUGGCUUGUCCGGAGCCAACUAUGUGCGAACCGCAGUCGGCGAUUGUCAUAAUACUUCCCGAAGAUUUUUUUAUGGACUCAAAGUACUUAGUUUCUCGUAAAAUGGUAUGAGUGGUGGCGCUAUAGGCAAGGCACGUUUCCUCCAUUCGGGCGCCACACGCGUUCUAAAAUAUGACAUCUAAUUAAUGUAAUGAGGAAGAAACUACAUUAAAAAUAAAUGCACACAUCUUAGAAUGUAACAUACUAUCAUGUAUAAAUGAUGGAAUAAAUGUCAUCCAAUCGCCAAAGUAAAGAAUAAGUUUAUGCUCUCAUAGAGCUUACAACCAAAUCGAAUUUAUUGUAUCAGAUCACGGAAUCAUGAUAACCAAAAAGGUAUGCUAAGUGGACUCGAUAAACAAGCCAUUCACUUCAGCCGCAAUCUCCAUAGUAGUGAGCUGAUCCUCCUUAGAAAUCAUCUUGGAGGCAGCAUCAACAUCUAGUUGCGGCAUAGCCGAGGUGACCAUGCGGUUAACCUCCAUGGAGACAUGGGCGUCGUUAGAGACCGCCAAGGCCGCCGCGAUGGGCACCACGGGGGUCGCCUCUAUGGGCACAACAGGGGGCGUAGAGAUCAUCACGGGUGCCGCCAUGGGCGCCGGUGGUGCUCCCUCCUGAACCAAGGCGAGGUGCGUCUCAUGUGCUUUCCAAGCCUUGUAUGCUUCAACGCCCUCCGGUGGUGCGCGACACUAGCGGGAGAAAUACUCCACCGAGCCACAACGGAAGCAGUCCUGAGGCCUCUGCCCUCCCUUGCCCGGCUUGUGCUGCUUAGCCGAGGCGGAGGGUUGAGGGCCCUUCUUCUUGCCCUUGCGGCCCCUCUUCUUCUGUUGAGGCUUGCGGACUUUGAGAGCGUUCACCUCCUGGCGAGAACUCCCCCCAAGUGGUUGCGGGACAAAGUUCUUUUUGAGAACCUCAUCCUACACAUCCUCCACCUGGAGGACGUUAAUCAACUCUGGAUAGCUCAUGUAGUUAUCCUGGCAGUAAUUCAGUGAGGACUGGACCGCGUCAGGGUGGAAAGUGGAUAGGGUUUUCUCAAUCUUCUGGGUGUCAGUAAUCUCAGUACUACACAACCGAAGAAUCGUACAAAUCCGGUGCUGAGCCGAACUGUACUCCCCAACCGUCUUGAAGUCCGCAACCCUCAGACGGAUCCACUCUGCCUCUGCAUGUGGCUUCACAGUGUACUUCAGCCGCUCAAACCACUGCUUAAGAGCGAUCCAAAUGCCAGAAGCACCGCGCUCAGCCAUAUACUCAUCUUUCAGAGUAGGUGACAGGUGAUGACGGAAAAAAUGCAGAGCCUGCACAUUCUUAGUUUUGAAUUUGGGAUCAGUGGGGGCCAGCUGGGCCCCCUUACCGAUCGCCCUCAGGAGGGUUUUGCCCUGGAGAAAGAUCUCACAGUCUGAGGACCAUGGCACGUAGUUCAGCCCUAUGUGGCCAACUCAGUAAACUUCUUGUUGACAAUUCCGGCCAUCUGCGAUUUAUGCAAAAAUCAUGAGAUUACAACAGGUAAUCUUUUGCACAAAUGCGAUAAUGAUAAACUUAUUCAAUAAAAAUGACAUUCCAGUAUUUAAAACAUGUUAUUAUAUGAUUUACUUAAUGAUCAAGAGUGCUGAACAGUUAAUCUACAGUAGUAAAAUCAUACAAUAAAACAUGUUUACAAAAUAUAGCAUGUUAAGCGCAUCUAGUAUGUGAGAACUAGCCCAAAAAUCAAAUUCCCAAGAUAUUUUAAAGCCAAAAUACACAUUUUCAGCGAAAACAGACAAUUCCAGGGGCUUCUACACGAAGUAUUACAACAGGAAUAUAAUGCGCGUAAAAAUAGAAAACUACAGGGGCUAAAAUGCAAAGAACCGCAUGCGCGCGUGAUACAUCCAUUUUGCAUCAUGCUUUUAUAUCAAUAUUUAUUGCUUUAUGGGCUGUUAUUACACAUUAUAUAUCAAUACUUAUGGCUAUUCUCUCUUAUUUUAUAAGGUUUACCAUGAAGAGGGGGAAUGCCGGCAGCUGGAAUUCUGGUUGGAAAAGGAGCAAACAUUGGAAACCUAUUCCGCACUGCUCCAAAAGACCUGAAACUCCAGAAACUUAUUUUUGGAUUUAAUAAGAAUUAUUGAGCGGAAGAAACACCUCAGGGGCCCACACCCUGGCCAGGAGGGUGGGGGGCGCGCCCACCCCUACUGGGCGCGCCCCUGUCUCCUGGGCCCCUUGGUGGCCCCCUGGUGUCCAUCUUCUUCUAUAUGAAGGCUUUCACCCUGGAAAAAAUUGUGGGCAAGCAUACGGGAUGAAACUCCGCCACCACGAGGCGGAACUUUGACGGAACCAAUCUAGAGCUCCGGCAGAGCUGUUCUGCCGGGGACACUUCCCUCCAGGAGGGGGAAUUCAUCACCAUCGUCAUCACCAAUGAUCCUCUCAUUGGGAGGGGGUCAAUCUCCAUCAACAUGUUCACCAACACCAUCUCCUCUCAAACCCUAGUUCAUCUCUUGUAUCCAAUCUUGUAUCCAAAAUCACAAAUUGGUACCUGUGGUUGCUAGUAGUGUUGAUUACUCCUUGUAGUUGAUACUUAUUGGUUUACUUGGUGGAAGAUCAUAUGUUCAGAUCCUUAAUGUAUAUUAUUACACCGCUAAUUAUGAACAUGAAUAUGCUUUGUGAGUAGUUACGUUUGUUCCUGAGGACAUGGGUGAAGUCUUGCUAUUAGUAGUCAUGUGAAUUUGGUAUUCGUUCGAUAUUUUGAUGAGAUGUAUGUUGUCUUUCCUCUAGUGGUGUUAUGUGAACAUCGACUACAUGACACUUCACCAUUAUUUGGGCCUAGAGGAAGGCAUUGGGAAGUAAUAAGUAGAUGAUGGGUUUCUAGAGUGACAGAAGCUUAAACCCUAGUUUAUGCGUUGCUUCGUAAGGGGCUGAUUUGGAUCCAAAUGUUUAAUGAUGUGGUUAGGUUUACCUUAAUACUUUUGUUGUAGUUGCUGAUGCUUGCAAUAUGGGUUAAUCAUAAGUGGGAUGCUUGUCCAAGUAAGGGCAGUACCCAAGCACCGGUCCACCCACAUAUCAAAUUAUCAAAGUACCGAACGCGAAUCAUAUGAGUGUGAUGAAACUAGCUUGACGAUAAUUCCCAUGUGUCCUCGGGAGCGCUUUUCUCAUUAUAAGAGAUUGUCCAGGCUUGUCCUUUGAUACAAAAAGGAUUGUCCACCUUGCUGUACCUUAUUUACUUUUAUUGCUUGUUACUUGUCACAAUUUAUCUUAUCGCAAACUAUCUAUUACCUACAAUUUUAGUGCUUGCAGAGAAAACCUUACUGAAAACCGCUUAUCAUUUCCUUCUGCUCCUCCUUGGGUUUGACACUCUUACUUAUCGAAAGGACUACGAUAGAUCCCCUACACUUGUGGGUCAUCAAGACUCUUUUCUGGCGCCGUUGCCAGGGAGUGUAGCACUUUUGGUGAGUGGAACUUGGUAAGGAAACAUUUAUAUAGUGUGCUGAAAUUUUCUGUUACUUGUUAGUAUGGAAACUAACCCUUUGAGGGGCUUGUUUGGGGCAUCUUCGCCCCGACCAGUAGAGCAAAGAGUUGCUCCUCAACCUACUGAACCUACUGAAAAUGUUCACUUUGAAAUUCCUUCGGGUAUGAUGGAACAUUUGCAGGAGAUGGAACAUUGCAUCCCGAUUUAUACCUUAUCUUUGUGGAUGAAGUUUGUGGAUUAUUUAAGCUUGCAGGUAUUCCCGAUGAUGUUUUCAAAAGGAAGGUCUUCCCUUUAUAUUUGAAGGGAGAUGCAUUGACAUGGUAUAGGCUAUGUGAUGAUAUGGGAUCUUGGAAUUAUAAACAAUUGAAGUUGGAAUUUCACGAGAAGUUCUAUCCUAUGCAUCUUGUUCAUCGUGAUCGUAAUUACAUAUAUAAUUUCUGGCCUCGCAAAGGAGAAAGCAUCGCUCAAUCUUGGGGGAGGCUUAAGUCAAUGUUAUAUUCAUGCCCCAAUCAUGAGCUCUCCAGAGAAAUGAUUAUUCAAAAAUUUUAUGCUCGGCUUUUUCUCAAUGUUCGCACCAUGCUCGAUACUUCUUGUGCUAGUUCUUAUAUGCUAAAGACUAUUGAAUUCAAAUGGGAUUUAUUGGAAAGAAUUAAACGCAACUCUGAAGAUUGGGGUUCUGACGAUGGUAAGGAGUGAGGUAUGACACCUAAGUUUGAUUGUGUUAAAUAUUUUAUGGAUAUCGAUGUUUUUAAUGGAUUUAGCGCUAAAUAUGGACUUGACUCUGAGAUAGCAGCUUCUUUCUGUGAAUCUUUUGCUACUCACAUUUACCUCCCUAAGGAGAAGUGGUUUAAAUAUAAUUCUCCCAUUGAAGUAAAAGUAGUUGCACCUAUUACAGUUGAAGAAAAGAUUAUUACCUAUAAUGAUCCUAUUGUUCCUACUACUUAUGUUGAGAAACCACCUUUUCCUGUUAGGAUAAAGGAUCAUGCUAAAGCUUCAACUGUUGUUUGUAAGAGUAAUACUAGAACUUAUACACCUCCUGAGCAAAUCAAAGUUGAACCUAGUAUUGCUAUGGUUAAAGAUCUCUUGGAUGAUAAUUUAGAUGGGCAUGUUAUUUACUUCUGUGGUGAAACUGCUAAUAUUGUUAAACCAGAUGCCAAGAUACAUAGACCUGUCGUUGGCAUGCCUGUUAUUUCUGUUAAAAUAAGAGAUCAUUGUUAUCAUGGUUUAUGUGAUAUGGGUGCUAGUGCUAGUGCAAUACCUUAUUCCUUAUACCAAGAGAUUGUGCAUGAUAUUGCACCUGCUGAGUUAGAAGAUAUUGAUGUUACGAUUAAGCUUGCCAAUAGAGAUACUAUUAGGCCCUUUGGGAUUGUUAGAGAUGUUGAAGUCUUGUGUGGGAAGGUCAAAUACCCUGCUGAUUUUCUUGUUCUUGGUUCUCAACAAGAUGACUUGUGUCCCAUUAUAUUUGGUAGACCCUUCUUGAACACUAUUAAAGCUAAGAUUGAUUGUGAAAAGGAUGUUGUUACGAUUGGCUUGGAUGAUAUGACUCAUGAGUUUAAUUUUGCUAAAUUUCAUAGACAACCCCGUGAUAAAGAAUUAGCUAGUAAAGAUGAAAUAAUUGGUCUUGCUUCUAUUGCCGUGCCUCCUACUGAUCCUUUACAACAAUAUUUGUUAGACCAUGAAAAUGAUAUGUUUAUGAAAGAAAGAAGGGAAAUAGAUGAAGUGUUCCUUAAACAGGAACCUAUUCUGAAACAUAACUUACCUGUUGAAAUUCUAGGGGAUCCUCCUCCACACAAGGGUGAUCCCGUGUUUGAGCUAAAACCAUUACCUGAUAAUCUUAAAUAUGCUUAUCUUGAUGAAAAGAAGAUAUAUCCUGUUAUUAUUAGUGCUAACCUUUCAGAGCAGGAAGAGGAAAGAUUAUUGAAAACUCUGAAGAAGCACCGUGCUGCUAUUGGAUAUACUCUGGAUGAACUUAAGGGCAUUAGUCCCAUGUUAUGUCAACACAAAAUUAGUUUGGAGGACGAUGCCAAACCAGUUGGAGAUCCUCAAUGAAGAUUAAAUCCCAAGAUGAAGGAAGUGGUAAGAAAGGAGAUACUAAAGCUCUUUGAGGCAGGUAUAAUUUAUCCCGUUGCUGAUAGUCAUUGGGUAAGCCCUGUCCAUUGUGUCCCUAAAUUUUCUUGUUCUCUCUAAAAACACAGUUACAUCGGCACAUCUAAAGAAAAGCAGUUACAUCGGCGGAGGAAAAUUCAAAAGCGAAAUCAGUAGUUCAGGGUUGUUCCGCAACUCCGCCGGCGAGUCCGGUCCGAGGUUGCGGAGCGAGGGCGAGCGUUGUAGACGAAGUAGUCGAACACGCAAAAGUAGAUGAACACAGAGAAAUAUGAAGGAGACUAGCUUUAUUAAUCAAUGAUCAACUGUUACAAUGAUAGCUCAUCGUUGCUUUAUAUAGGGGGUACGGGGUUAAGGGAUAAGUACCCACUUAAGAUAAAGUGUGGAACCGGGAGAGGCUAUUGUUGGAAAUAUGCCCUAGAGGCAAUAAUAAAAUGGUUAUUAUUGUAUUUCCUUGUUCAUGAUAAUUGUCUAUUAUUCAUGCUAUAAUUGCAUUGACCGGAAACGGCAAUACAUGUGUGAAUACAUAGACCACAACAUGUCCCUAGUGAGCCUCUAGUUGACUAGCUCGUUGAUGAACAGAUGGUCAUGGUUUCCUGACCAUGGACAUUGGAUGUCAUUGAUAACGGGAUCACAUCAUUAGGAGAAUGAUGUGAUCGACAAGACCCAAUCCUAAGCCUAGCACAAGAUCGUGUAGUUCGUAUGCUAAAGCUUUUCUAAAUGUCAAGUAUCUUUUCCUUAGACCAUGAAAUUGUGCAACUCCGGGAUACCGUAGGAAUGCUUUGGGUGUACCAAAUGUCACAAUGUAACUGGGUGGCUAUAAAGGUGCACUACGGGUAUCUCCGAAAGUGUCUGUUGCGUGGUCACGAAUCGAGACUAGGAUUUGUCACUCCGUGUGACGGAGAGGUAUCUCUGGGCCCACUCGGUAGGACAUCAUCAUAAUGUGCACAAUGUGAUCAAGGAGUUAAUCACGGGAUGAUGUGUUACGGAGCGAGUAAACGAGAUUUAACAAGGUAUCGGCAUACCGAUGAUCGAAUCUCGGGCAAGUACUAUAUCGGUAGACAAAGGGAAUUGUAUACGGGAUUGAUUGAAUCCUUGACAUCGUGGUUCAUCCGAUGAGAUCAUCGUGGAACAUGUGGGAGCCAACAUGGGUAUCCAGAUCCCGCUGUUGGUUAUUGGCCGAAGAGUUGUCUCGGUCAUGUCUGCGUGGUUCCCCAACCCGUAGGGUCUACACACUUAAGGUUCGGUGAUGCUAGGGUUAUAGGGAAGGUAUGUACGCGGUUACCGAAUGUUGUUUGGAGUCCCGGAUGAGAUCCAGGACGUCACGAGGAGUCCCGGAAUGGUCCGGAGGUGAAGAUUGAUAUAUUGGAUGAAGGGUUUUGGAGUCCGGAAGUGUUCCGGAGGUACCGGGUGAUGACCAGCAUGACCGAAAGGUGUUUCGGGAGCCCCGACAAGUGUUGGGGGGCUUCAUGGGCCAAGGGGAGGGGGCAAACCAGCCCACUAAGGGGCUGUGCGCCCCCUCACCUAUUCCCACGUGACCAGGGGGUUUGGGGCGCCCCAUCUAGGGUUCCCACCUCCUGUCUUGGGGGCCAAGUCACCCAAAGGGGAGAUCCCAUCUGCCCUGGCCGCCGCCCCCCCUAGGGGAAACCCUAGGGCGCCUCCCCCUCUCCCUUCCCCCUAUAUAUAGUGGAGGUUUUGGGGCUGCCCAACACAUGAGUCUCUCUCUCCCAAGGCGCAGCCCUACCUCUCUCCCUCCUCGUCUCUCGUAGUGCUUGGCAAAGCCCUGUUGGAGUACCACACUCCACCACCACCACGCUGUCGUGCUGCUGCUGGACGGAGUCUUCCCCAACCUCUCCCUCUCUCCUUGCUGGAUCAAGGCAUGGGAGACAUCACCGGGCUGCACGUGUGUUGAACACGGAGGCGCUGUUGUUCGGCGCUUAGAUCGGAAUCGACCGCGAUCUGAAUCGCCACGAGUACGACUACCUCAUCCACGUUCUUGCAACGCUUCCGCUUAACGAUCUACAAGGGUAUGUAGAUGCACUCCCCUUCCCCUUGUUGCUAGAUUACUCCAUAGAUUGAUCUUGGUGAUGCGUAGAAAAUUUUGAAUUUCUGCUACGUUCGCCAACAAUGGCAUCAUGAGCUAGGUCUAUUGUGUAGAUUCUAUGCACGAGUAGAACACAAGUUGUUGUGGGCGUUGAUUUUGUUCAAUAUGCUUACCGUUACUAGUCCUAUCUUGUUUCGACGGUAUUGUGGGAUGAAGCGGCCCGGACCGACCUUACACGUACACUUACGUGAGACAGGUUCCACCGACUGACAUGCACUUGUUGCAUAAGGUGGCUAGCGGGUGCCAGUCUCUCCCACUUUAGUCGGAUCGGAUUCGAUGAAAAGGGUCCUUAUGAAGGGUAAAUAGCAAUUGGCAUAUCACAUUGUGGCUUUUGCGUAGGUAAGAAACGUUCUUGCUAGAAACCCAUAGCAACCACGUAAAACAUGCAAACAACAAUUAGAGGACGUCUAACUUGUUUUUGCAGGGUAUGCUAUGUGAUGUGAUAUGGCCAAAAGAAUGUGAUGAAUGAUAUGUGAUGUAUGAGAUUGAUCAUGUUCUUGUAAUAGGAAUCACGACUUGCAUGUCGAUGAGUAUGACAACCGGCAGGAGCCAUAGGAGUUGUCUUUAUUUAUUGUAUGACCUGCGUGUCACUGAAUAACGCCAUGUAAUUACUUUACUUCAUUUCUAAACCGUUAGCCAUAGUAGUAGAAGUAAUAGUUGGCGAGACAACUUCAUGGAGACACGAUGAUGGAGAUCAUGAUGAUGGAGAUCAUGGUGUCAUGCCGGUGAUGAUGAUGAUCAUGGAGCCCCGAAGAUGGAGAUCAGAAGGAGCAAAAUGAUAUUGGCCAUAUCAUGUCACUUUUUGAUUGCAUGUGAUGUUUAUCAUGUUUAUGCAUCUUAUUUGCUUAGAACGACAGUAGUAAAUAAGAUGAUCCCUCAUAAUAAUUUCAAGAAAGUGUUCCCCCUAACUAUGCACCUUGCGAAAGUUCGUUGUUUCGAAGCACCACAUGAUGAUCGGGUGUGAUAGAUUCUAACAUUCACAUACAACGGAUGUAAGCCAGAUUUACACAUGCAAAACACUUAGGUUGACUUGACGAGCCUAGGAUGUAUAGACAUGGCCUCGGAACACAAGAGACCUAAAGGUUGAACAUGAGUCGUAUAGUGGAUACGAUAAACAUGAAGAUGUUCACCGAUGAUGACUAGUCCGUCUCACGUGAUGAUCGGACACGGCCUAGUUGACUCAGAUCAUGUAUCACUUAGAUGACUAGAGGGAUGUCUAUCUGAGUGGGUGUUCAUAAGAUGAACUUAAUUAUCCUGAACAUAGUCAAAAGGUUUUUGCAAAGUAUGUUGUAGCUCGCGCUUUAGUUCUACUGUUUUAGAUAUGUUCCUAGAGAAAAUUUAGUUGAAAGUUGAUAGUAGCAAUUAUGCGGACUGGGUCCGUAAACUGAGGAUUGUCCUCAUUGCUGCGUAGAAGGCUUAUGUCCUUAAUGCACCACUCGGUGUGCUGAACCUCGAACGUCGUCUGUGGAUGUUGCAAACAUUUUACAUACACGUUUUGAUAACUACGUGAUAGUUCAGUAAUGUUAAACGGUUUAGAAUUGAGGCACCGAAGACGAUUUCGAAAUGUCGCGGAACAUAUGAGAUGUUUCAAGGGCUGAAAUUGGGAUUUCAGGCUCGUGCCCACGUCAAGAGGUAUAAGACCUCCGACGAGUUUCUUAGCCUACAAACUAAGGGAGAAAAGCUCAAUCGUUGAACUUGUACUCAGAUUGUCUGGGCACAACAAUCACUUGAAUCGAGUGGGAGUUAAUCUUCCAGAUGAGAUAGAGAUGUUUCUCCAAAGACAUUGCCACCAAGCUACUAGAGCUUCGUAAUGAACUAUAACAUAUCAGGGAUAGAUAUGAUGAUCCUUGGAAUAUUCGCGAUGUUUGACACCGUGAAAGUAGAAAUCAAGAAGGAGCAUCAAUUGUUGAUGGUUAGUGAAACCACUAGUUUCAAGAAGGGCAAGGGCAAGAAGGGGUACUUCAUGAAAUGGCAAAUCAGUUGCUGCUCCAGUGAAGAAACCCAAGGUUGAACCCAAACCCGAGACUAAGUGCUUAUGUAAUGAGGGAACGGUCACUGAAGCAGAACUACCCUAGAUACUUGGUAGAUGAGAAGGCUGGCAUGGUUGACAGAAGUAUAUUGGAUAUACAUUGUAAUAAAUGUGUACUUUACUAGUACUCCUAGUAGCACCAGGGUAUUAAGAUACCGGUUCGGUUACUAAGUGUUAGUAACUCGAAAUAAAAGAGCUACGGAAUAAACGGAGACUAGCUAAAGGUGAGAUGACGAUGUGUGUUGGAAGUGUUUCCAAGGUUGAUGUGAUCAAGCAUCGCCUGCUCCCUCUACCAUCGAGAUUGGUGUUAAACCUAAAUAAUUGUUAUUUGGUGUUUGCGUUGAGCAUAGACAUGAUUGGAUUAUGUCUAUCGCAAUACGGUUAUUCAUUUAAGGAGAAUAAUGGUUACUCUAUUUAUUUGAAUAAUACCUUCAAUGGUCUUGCACCUAAAAGAAUGGUUUAUUGAAUCUCGAUCAUAGUGAUACACAUGUUCAUGCCAAAAGAUAUAAUAUAGUAAUGAUAGUACCACCUGCUUGUGGCACUGCCAUUUGAGUCAUAUUGGUAUAAAACACAUGCAGAAGCUCCAUGUUGAUGGAUCUUUGGACUCACUCGUUUUUGAAAAGUUUGAGACAUGCGAACCAUGUCUAUUGGUAUGUACGCAUGAAGAAACUCCAUGCAGAUGGAUCGUUUGGACUCACUUGAUUCUAAAUCACUUGAGACAUGCAAAUCAUACCAGAUGGGCAAGAUGACUGAAAAGCCUCGUUUUCAGUAAGAUGGAACAAGAGAGCAACUUGUUGGAAGUAAUACAUUUUGAUGUGUGCUGUCCAAUGAGUGCUGAGGCACACAGUGGAUAUUGUUAUGUUCUUACUUCACAGAUGACUUGAGUAGAUGCUGAGUAUAUUUACUUGAUGAAACAUAAGUCUGAAUUAUUGAAAGGUUCAAGUAAUUUCAGAGUGAAGUUGAAGAUCAUCGUGACAAGAGGAUAAAAUGUCUAAGAUAUGAUCAUAAGAGAUGAAUACCUGAGUUACGAGUUUGGUGCACAAUUAAGACCUUGUGGAAAUUGUUUCACAACUAAUACCGCCUAGAACACCAUAGUGUGAUGGUGUGUCCGAACAUCAUAGCAGCACCCUAUUGGAUAUGGUGCAUACCAUGAUGUCUCUUAUGGAAUUACCACUAUCGUUCAUGGGUUAGGCAUUAGAGACAACCACAUUCACUUUAAAUAGGGCACCACAUAAUUCCGUUGAGAUGACACCAUAUGAACUAUGGUUUAGAGAAACCUAAGCUGUCAUUUCUUGAAAGUUUGGGGCUGCGACGCUUAUGUGAAAAAGUUUCAUCCUGAUAAGCUCGAACCCAAAGCGGAUAAAUACAUCUUCAUAGGACACCCAAAAAUAGUUGGGUAUACCUCCUAAUUCAGACCCGGAAGCAAAAGUGAUUGUUUCUAGAAAUUGGUCCUUUCUCGAGGAAAAGUUUCUCUCAAAAAAAUUGAGUGGGAGGAUGGUGGAGACUUGAUGAGGUUAUUGAACCAUCACUUCAACCAGUGUGUAGCUGGGCACAGGAAUUUGUUCCUGUGGCACCUGCACCAAUUGAAGUGGAAGUUGAUGAUAGUGAUCAUGAAACUUCAGAUCAAGUCACUACCAAACCUCGUAGGACGACAAGGACAGGUACUGCUUCAGAGUGGUACGGUAAUCCUGUCUUGGAGGUCAUGUUGCUAGACAACAAUGAACCUAUGAGCUAUGGAGAAGCGAUGGUGGGCCCGGAUUCCGACAAAUGGCUCGAGGCCAUAAAAUCCGAGAGAGGAUCCAUGUAUGAAAACAAAGUAUAGACUUUGGAAGAACUACUUGAUGGUCGUAAGGCUGUUGGGUACAGAUGGAUUUUAAAAGGAAGCCGAACAAUGAUGGUAAGUAUCACCAUUACGAAAGCUCGACUUGUCGUUAAGAUGUUUUCCGACAAGUUCAAGGAGUUGACUAUGAUGAGACUUUCUCACUCGUAGCGAUGCUAAGAGUCUGUUGGAAUUAUAUUAGCAAUUACUGCAUGAUUUAUGAAAUCUUGCAGAUAGGAUGUCAAAACAUUGUUUCCACGACGAUAUUCUUGAGGAAAGGUUGUAUGUGAUACAACCAGAAGGUUUUGUCAAAUCCCGAAAGAUGCUAACAAGUGUGCAAAGCUCCAACAAUCCUUCUAAGGACUGGAGUAAGCAUCUCGGAGUUGGAAUAUACACUUUGAUGAGAUGAUCAAAGAUUUCGGGUUUAUACAAAGUUUAUGAGAAACUUGUAUUUCCAAAGAAGUGAGUGGGAGCACUAUAGCAUUUCUGAUGCGUAUAUGUUGUUGACAUAUUGUUGAUCGGAAAUGAUGUAGAACUUCUGGAAAGCAUAUAGGGUUAUUUGAAAAUUGUUUUUCAAUGGAAAACCUGGAUUAAGCUACUUAAACAUUGAACAUCAAGAUCUAUAAGGAUAGAUCAAAAUGCUUAAUAGUACUUUCAAAUGAGUACAUACUAUGACAAGAUUUUGAAGGAGUUCAAAAUAGAUCAGCAAAGAAGGAGUUCUUGGCUGUGUUAUAUGGUGUGAGUAUUGAGUAAGACUCAAGACAUGACCGCAGAAGAGAGAGAAAGGACGAAGGUCGUCCCCUAUGCUUCAGACGUAGGCUCUAUAGUAUGCUAUGCUGUGUACCGCACCAGAAGUGUGCCUUGCCAUGAGUCAGUCAAGGGGUACAAGAGUGAUCCAGGAAUGGAUCACAGGACAACGGUCAAACCUAUCCUUAGUAACUAGUGGACUAAGGAAUUUUCUUGAUUAUGGAGGUGGUAAAAGAGUUCGUCGUAAAGGGUUACGCUGAUGCAAACUUUGACACUAAUCCGGAUUAUUCUAAGUAGUAAACCGGAUUCGUAUAGUAGAACAGUUAUUUGGAAUAGCUCCAAAUAGAGCGUGGUAGCUGCAUCUAGGAGAUGACAUAGAGAUCCGUUGACAUAGAGCAAAGCACACACGGAUCUGAAAGGUUCAGAUCCAUUGACUAAUAACCUCUCUCACACGCGACAUAUGAUCAAACUCCAUGGGUGUCGAUUCAUUACAAUCACAUUGUGAUGUGAACUAGAUUAUUGACUCUAGUGCAAGUGGGAGACUGUUGGAAAUAUGCCCUUGAGGCAAUAAUAAAAUGGUUAUUAUUGUAUUUCCUUGUUCAUGAUAAUUGUCUAUUAUUCAUGCUAUAAUUGCAUUGACCGGAAACCGCAAUACAUGUGUGAAUACAUAGACCACAACAUGUCCCUAGUGAGCUUCUAGUUGACUAGCUCGUUGAUCAACAGAUGGUCAUGGUUUCCUGACCAUGGACAUUGGAUGUCAUUGAUAACGGGAUCACAUCAUUAGGAGAAUGAUGUGAUGGACAAGACCCAAUCCUAAGCCUAGCACAAGAUCGUGUAGUUCGUAUGCUAAAGCUUUUCUAAAUGUCAAGUAUCUUUUCCUUAGACCAUGAGAUUGUGCAACUCCCGGAUACCGUAGGAAUGCUUUGGGUGUACCAAACAUCACAACAUAACUGGGUGGCUAUAAACAUGCACUACGGGUAUCUCUGAAAGUGUCUGUUGGGCUGGCACGAAUCGAGACUGUGAUUUGUCACCCCGUGUGACGGAGAGGUAUCUCUGGGCCCACUCGGUAGGAAAUCAUCAUAAUGUGCACAAUGUGAUCAAGGAGUUGAUCACGGGAUGAUGUGUUACGAAAUGAGUAAAGAGACUUGCCGGUAACGAGAUUGAACAAGUUAUCGGCAUACCGACGAUCGAAUCUCGGGCAAGUACUAUACGGUAGACAAAGGGAAUUUUGUACGGGAUUGAUUGAAUCCUUGACAUCAUGGUUCAUCCGAUGAGAUCAUCGUGGAACAUGUGGGAGCCAACAUGGGUAUCCAGAUCCCGCUGUUGGUUAUUGGCCGGAGAGUUGUCUCGGUCAUGUCUGCAUGGUUCCCAAACCCGUAGGGUCUACACACUUAAGGUUCAGUGACGCUAGGGUUAUAGGGAAGGUAUGUAUGCGGUUAACGAAUGUUGUUCGGAGUCCCGGAUGAGAUCCCGAACGUCGCGAGGAGUCCCAGAAUGGUCCGCAGGUGAAGCUUGAUAUAUUGGACGAAGGGUUUUGGAGUCCGGAAGUGUUCCGGAGGUACCGGGUGAUGAUCAGCAUGACCAAAAGGUGUUUCGGGAGCCCCGACAAGUGUUGGGGGGCUUCAUGGGCCAAGGGGAGGGGGCAAACCAGCCCACUAAGGGGUUGUGCUCCCCCCUCACAUAUUCCCACGUGACCAGGGGGUUUGGGGCGCCCCAUCUAGGGUUCCCACCUCCUGGCUUGGGGGCCAAGUCACCCAAAGGGGAGAUCCCAUCUGCCCUGGCCGUCGCCCCCCUAGGGGAAACCCUAGGGCGCCUCCCCCUCUCCCUUCCCCCUAUAUAUAGUGGAGGUUUUGGGGCUGCCCAACACAUGAGUCUUUCUCUCCCAAGGCGCAGCCCUACCUCUCUCCCUCCUCGUCUCUCGUAGUGCUUGGCGAAGCCCUGCUGGAGUACCGCGCUCCUCCACCACCACCACGCCGUCAUGCUGCUGCUGGAUGGAGUCUUCCCCAACCUCUCCCUCUCUCCUUGCUGGAUCAAGGCAUGGGAGACGUCACCGGGCUGCACGUGUGUUGAACACGGAUGCACCGUUGUUCGGCGCUUAGAUCGGAAUCGUCCGCGAUCUGAAUCGCCACGAGUACGACUACCUCAUCUGCGUUCUUGCAACGCUUCCGCUUAGCGAUCUACAAGGGUAUGUAGAUGCACUCCCCUUCCCCUCGUUGCUAGAUUACUCCAUAGAUUGAUCUUGGUGAUUCAUAGAAAAUUUUGAAUUUCUGCUACGUUCCCCAACAGCUAUCCCGUGCGAUACGCACGCAGCCGCCAGCCCCACGACGUGGGCCGGUUUCCCAACAAGGGUAACCCUUGUAAAGGUUACUCACACAUUCUUUGAUGGUGAUAAGUGACGUAUUGCAUAUGUGAUACUUGUCACAAUUAGAAGUUUUGGGUUUUUCUUCAUAUAUUUAAUAUUUUUUUCUUGAGCCACACAUCUAAAUCUCGAAUCGUUUUCAUAAGUGGGUUUCUCGAACCAUUUUCAUAAGUGGGUUUCUUGCAUUGAGAUUUCAGAGACAAAAUCCCAUGUUAACAGGUUCAACCGAUUUUUUUUCUUGAAAAUACCACGGGAAGAAGAAGAAAAACAUAAAUAAAAAUAGGGAAGCACACUUCAGGCACAUGUGUGCUUCACGCUGCCCCCCAAAAGGGCAAAAGGCCGAAAAGAAAAAAGAAAAACAGAAGCAUAGUUGAAUUUUUCUUUUGAAUUCCACAAAAAAAGAGUUUUUCUUUUGAAAACACAUUUGUGUUUUUCACUUUUCAUGAAGCACACAUGUGCUUUCCAUUUUCCGAAAAAGCACAAAAGGUGUGCUUCAUGCGGGUGCACAACUACGUAUCACCACGAAACACACUUGUUUUCACUUACCGAAAAGUACAGGUGUGCUAACGCGUAAGCUAUGCUUUUCACUUUUGAGAAAACAUAGUUGUGCUUGUCGCGAAAGCACAUCUAUGAGAAGCGUAGCUGUGUUUUUUCACUUUCAGAAAGCAUAGUGGCAAGUUCAUGUGAAAGCACAAAUAUGUUUCACACCUAUGUCUUUUACACAACGUGCUUCAUGCAAGAAAUCCAACAUAAAUAAAUAAACAGAAUCAAAUUAUAUUUUUAGGAAACCUAGGAAAAAUCACGAAAUAUUCAAAACCCCCACAAAAUCUAAAAAACCAAACACAUGCAUGAAUUAAAAAUUGUUUCCUGUGGGUGUGCACAACUAGCCACACAUGGUGGCGGUUGGGCACACCAGCGCGGCGCACCCCCGCGCGCCCGCCUGCGGCACCCUACCCGUAGGGGAAAACACAUAAGAGAGCUUGUAUAACGCCUCAGAUCACAUCAAACGGAUUCAGAGAAGACAAUUCUCACAUGCACCUGGCGAGGCCGAAGCUGGCCGAUCUUCGUCGGUCUGAACUGGACCUGGAGGACCAAAAGCACAACCGCAUCAUACACUCCGAAGGGCAGUGCCGUCGAGACAAAUCUAUAAAAGAAGAAACCUAGGAUAAAUCACACUCCACGGCAAUGAUGGCAAGAAGUACCACUUCAACAUGGACGACACAUGGAUUACUUAUUCCAUGCCAACAAUGGUGCCAUCGCCUAACCACCGAUGAGUAGGGACCAAAACCUGGACUACAAACUUCAACCUACUAACACUGGUCUGAUACCAACUUGUACACUACAUGAAUCAGGUAAUUUGUCAUCUCUGGACCUCUUUGCCGCCAGCUUUUCAUCGGGGAAGACGGAAAAGACCAAAUUUACCGUCGGCUGCUAACGGCAAAGAACAGUUGACGACAAAAUACCGGAAAAACUGACGGCAAAGCCCCAUUGUCGUUUGUGCUGCUGCAGGCUGAUGGAAAAGCCCCAUUAUCGGUAGUGAAACAGACAGACCUCAGGGUAGGGGGUCCCGAGCUGUGGAUCUCGGAUCUAUGGGUAACAGGGGACGAAGUAGACAUUAUUUACCCGGAUCGGCCCCCUCGAAGAGGUAAUACCCUACGUCCUGCUUGAUUAUAUUGAUGGUGAUAUAUCGAGUACAUGCUUGAUCUACCUCGAGAUUGCAAGUAGUGUUCUAACCCUAACGCUAGGUGGUUGUAAUUGUGACCCUCCCUCUAUGGACUAGACCUCCCAGUUUACAUAGACACUAGGGUACCUUAGCUUACAAAUGGCCGGUUGCCAAUCUAGUAUCACAUGCGCCGCCCAGCCGAUGUAGGUCUUGGAGUACACGUCAAGUCUUCGGUAGAGUCCAUCUUAAUCGCGCUGAAGUAUGAGGCUUCCAGACUCCUUUCUUAGAAAUGGUGGGCCAUAAGCUCGGCCCAUGGACUGUGGGCCGACUAGGUCGGUACCCCCUAGUCCAAGCCCAUCCCGACUAUCAUAAAUUAAAAUAAAACAGAUCCUUCACGGUCACUACACAUAUACUUGUGCUAUGUUCCUUUGUUAAUUGCCAUGGAGCCAAAGAUAACUAUCGUGAUACAAAUUCCUUAACACUAUACCCGGCUAUCAACCAGGGGCUUGGAUUUAACCCAACGCUCACAUAAAAGUCCAAACAGAUUGUUUGAUGUCUUGGAUGUUGCAUUGUAUGAAUCAAUUUUGAACAUGAUUUUGGUUAAUAGUUGGGUUGCCCGACUGUCGGUGUACAAAAGUAUGGGUACUUCUGUACCCCUUACUUGUGCACGGACGAUCGCAGCCACCCCUACAGCAAGGCUUGGCAGGGCAGAGGAAGACAUCAGAAGGCAAGACAAGUACAAAGAAUAUCAAGACAGAUGCCCGGAGUAGCAAGUAGCAAGAGGCAAGCAGGGCCACGCCCGGCAACAAGCCUUGCCGAGAAACCUGCGCGGCCCCCGGCAAGCCCCUUGCCGGGGCACCUUGCGAAGAGACCAGCAAGGCCACCACCCUUGGGCUUGAGAGCUCUAACACCAUCGGCAAUAUUAAAGAUCAAGAUUUGAAGAGCACAUGCAUGGUAGCAUGCGGCUCCUCACGAAGAUCGACAACCCACGGGUCCACGUGGGGUCAAAUGAUGAAGACCCCCGGCAAGACCCUUGCCGAGGACGACUCCAAGGCCCCUGGCAAGCCUUGCCAGGGACGAUCGCUAGGCCGCAGCCAGGCCCACGCUCGGCAGGGUUCCUCCACCUCACCACCACUCCAACACGGCGAUGAUCGUGCCAACGAAGCAGGUGCGUGCGUGGCAGCAUGCAGAUCUUCGUGGAAGCCUAUCGCUUUGCCAACACAACAGCUGGUUGGCCAGCGUGGCACUGCAUACCUCAUCGACCCAGACGCGUGGCAAGGCGAGGGGAAGCGACGAAGGACGGGAUGGCCUCUGUUGCCAUCCCCAAUAAAGCGAGAGGAAACGUAUGUGUCACAUUAAAUGCGCUUGUCUUAUGCUAAUCGAGCGAUAAGCUCAGACCACUGUAGAUUGCCACCUCAUGUGUGCCACUGUGGCAACCCCUUUGUGUACAAAAGGAGGCCCGAGGCACAGAGAGAGAGAGCGGAUUCGGACUUUUGAACAAGGCACAUACUGUAGCUAGUUCAAAAGCUUAAGAACACUCAGAUAACCAGAUAAAGCAGGACUAGGGUAUUAUGCAUCUCCGCGGCCCAAACCUGGAUAAAAACCCUAUGUGUGCUAACAACUCGACCUGCUCUCCGUGCAACCAAUCCCUCGCCGAAUGUAGAAGGGAUCCUAGUGACCCCAUAGGUGAUCGGUUUCCCCGACACCGAUUCUUGUGCUUACCUCUUACGUUCUACUCUGUUUGACUAAGAGUGUAAUGGGAGAACCACUGUGCUACUUGUGAGCUGUGUUGGGAUUUCCUCGAAGAGGAGAGGAUGAUGCAAUAUAGUACAAAUAAGUAUUUCCCUUAGUUAUGAAACCAAGCUUAUCAAUCCAGUCGGAGAACCAAACAACACUAUGUAAACAACACCUGCAGGCAAACAACAAAUACUUACAACCCAAUGCGUAUAGGGGUUGCCAAUCCCUCAACCGUUACGAGCGAGAUUAAACGAUAUAGUUAUUGAUAGAUAGGCCAAACAAAAAUACAAACUAAAAUAAAUAAAAUAAAAAUACAGCAAGGUAUUUUUGGUUUUAAUAUAUGAUAGAAAAUAUACCCGGGGCGAUAAUUUUCACUAGAGGUUUCUCUCAUAAAAAUAGUAUACGGUGGGUAGACAAAUUACUAUUGGACAAUUGACAGAAAAGCUAAUAAUUAUGACGAUAACCAACACAAUGAUCAUGUAUAUAGGCAUCACGUCUGAGACAAGUAGACCGAAACAAUUCUGCAUCUACUACUAUUACUCCACACAUCGUCCGCUAUCCAGCAUUGCAUCUAGUGUAUUAAGUUCAUGGAAGAACGGAGUAACGCCUUAAUCAAGAUGACAUGAUGUAGACAAGAUAAACUCAUGUAUGAAAUAGAUCCCAUCUUUUUAACCUUAAUAACAACGAUACAUGUGUGUCAUGUCCCUUUCUAUCACUGGGAUUGAGCAUCACAAGAUCGAACCCAUCACAAAGCACCUCUUCCCAUGGCAAGAUAAAUCAAUCUAGUUGGCCAACCCAUACCAAUAAAUAGGAUAAAAAAUACGGGGCUAUAACAAUCAUGCAUAAAAGAGUUUAGAGAAAACUCAAAUAAUAUUCAUGGAUAGAUCUGAUCAUAAAAUCACAAUUCAUCAGAUUCCAACAAACACACCGCAAAAAGUCAUUACAUCUAAUAGAUCUCCAAGAACACCGAGGAGAACAUUGUAUUGAAGAGCAAAAAGAGAGAAGAAGUCAUCUAGCUACUAACUAUGGACCAAUAUAUAGGUCCGUGGUAAACUACUCAUGCAUCAUCGGAGGGCAGCAAAGAUGAUGAAGAGCCCACUCCAUGAUCUAAUACCCCUCUGACAGAGUGCCAUAAAAGGCCUCUAGAUGGGAUCUCGUGGUUCUGGAAAUUGCGGUGGCUGAAAAAGCAUUUCGUGGACUCCUCUGUUGGUUCUACGAUUUUAGAGAAUUUAGAGAGGCGGAGCUAGGUCAAACGGAGCCUCAUGGGCGGCACCACCCAUCAGGGCGCGCUUACGCGCAUGUGCGCACCCUAGUGGGUGGUGGGCCCAUGCUCCCACGUCUAGUUUUCUCCUGAAGCUUCUAGUGUCUCUUUUGUCUAGAAAAAUCUCCAAAAUGUUUCAUGGUAUUUGGACUUUGUUUGGUAAUGGUAUUCUACGAAACCAAAAGCAAGCAAAAAACAACAACUCGCACUGGGCACUAAGUUAAUAGGUUAGCCCAAAAAAUGAUAUUAAUUGCUUGUAUGUGUAUACAAAACAUCCAAGGUUGAUAAUAGAAUAUCAUGGGAAAAUAAAAAAUUAUAUAUACGUUGCUGACGUAUCACACUACGAUUGUGCUUCCAGAUUGGAUGGUAAAGCGCCCCAGUGGAGAAAGCUGAAGACCGAGUGUGCUGGUAUGUGUAAACUGAUCGGUGAUCCGAUAACAUUGUCUAACAUAAGAUCGUUUUGGAGAUCUUACGUGUCAAACAAGGGGAUUUUAUUAGAAAUAGCCGAAGUGUGUGGCAGUUUAGACCUCGGCCACAACCGAACGACUCACACACCGGGGGCUACUAACUAGCUCCCACAGUCAAGCUCCUACAACUAAGUGAAAAUUAUAAAGCAAUCAUAGUACUAUUGCCUAGUUUUCAUAUUCAUGGACCGCAUGAGGGAACCGAGACGUAGAUUAAGGGUUAAAUUUCUAUGGAAACUCCCUUUGUACUUUGUACAAAGGGGGUGAAAGCUAACGGCAACCUGAUGUCUACUAUGCAACCUUCUUCUUGUAGACGUUGUUGGGCCUCCAAGUGCAGAGGUUUGUAGGACAGUAGCAAAUUUCCCUCAAGUUGAUGACCUAAGGUUUAUCAAUCCGUGGGAGGCAUAUGAUGAAGAUGGUCUCUCUCAAACAACGCUGCAACCAAAUAACAAAGAGUCUCCUGUGUCCCCAACACACCCAAUACAAUGGUAAAUUGUAUAGGUGCACUAGUUCAUCGAAGAUAUGGUGAGACAAGUGCAAUAUGGAUGGUAUAUAAAAGGUUUUUCUAAUCUAAAAUUAUAAAAACAACAAGGUAACAAGUGGUAAAAGUGAGCGAAAACGGUAUUGCAAUGCUUCGAAACAAGGCCUAGGGUUCAUACUUUCACUAGUGCAAGUUCUCUCAACAAUAAUAACAUAAUUAGAUCAUAUAACAAUCCCUCAACAUGCAACAAAGAGUCACUCCAAAGUCACUAAUAGCGGAGAACAAAUGAAGAGAUUAUUGUAGGGUACAAAACCACCUCAAAGUUAUUCUUCCCGAUCAAUCCAUUGGCUAUUCUUAUAAGUGUCACAAACAACCCUAGAGUUCAUAAUAAAAUAACACCUUAAGACACACAUCAACCAAAACCCUAAUGUCACCUAGAUACUGCAAUGUGAGCACAAGUAUCCGCGGGUAUGAUUAUAUGAUAUGCAUCACACAAUCUAAGGUUCAUCUAUUCAAACCAACACAAAGUACUUCAUAGAGUGCCCCAAAGUUUCUACCGGAGAGUCAAGACGAAAACGUGUGCCAACCCCUAUGCAUAGAUUCCCAAGGUCAUGGAACCCGCAAGUUGAUCACCAAAAAAUACGUCAAAUGGAUCAAUAGAAUACCCCAUUGUCACCACGUGUAUCCCAUGCUAGACAUACAUCAAGUGUUCUCAAAUCCUUAAAGACUCAAUCCAAUAAGAUAACUUGAAAGGGAAAACUCAAUCCAUUACAAGAAGGUAGAGGGGGAGAAACAUCAUAAGAUCCAACUAUAAUAGCAAAACUCAUGAUACAUCAAGAUUGUGCCAUAUCAAGAAUACGAGAGGGAGAGAUCGAACACAUAGCUACUGGUACAUACCCUCAGCCUCGAGGGUGAACUACUCCCUCCUCGUCAUGGAGAGUGCCGGGAAGAUGAAGAUGGCCACCGGUAAUGGAUCCCCCCUCCGGCAGGGUGCCGGGACAGGGCCCCGAUUGGUUUUUGGUGGCUACAGAGGCUUACAAUGGUGGAACUCCCAAUCUAGGUUAUGUUAUAGAGAUUUGGGGAUUUAUAGGAGAGGUUGGCGUCGAGAACAAGUCAGGGGGCCCCACAAGGAGUCCACGAGGCAGGGGCGCACCCUAGGGGGGCGCCCUCCACCAUCGUGGGGCCCAUGGGACUCCCUUCUGAUAACUCUUUGUUCCAGUAUUUUUUUAUAUUUUCCAGAAAAAUAUCCAUUGAUUUUCGGCGCAUUCCGAGAACUUUUAUUUCUGCACAAAAACAAUACCAUGGUAGUUCUGCUGAAAACAACGCCAGUUCGGGUUAGUUCUAACCAAAUCAUACCAAAAUCAUGUAAAAAUAUUGUAAACAUGGCAUGAAUACAUAAAAAAUUAUAGAUAAGUUGGAGACGUAUCAAGCAUCCCCAAGCUUAAUUCCUGCUUGUCCUCGAGUAGGUAAAUGAUAGAAACAUAAUUUUUGAUGUGGAAUGCUACCUAACAUAUUUAUCAAUGUAAUCUUCUUUAUUGUGGCAAGAAUAUUCAGGUUCAUAAGAUUCAAAACAAAAGAUGAAUAUUGACAUAAAAAACGAUAAUACUUCAAGCAUACUAAUAAAGCAAUCAUGUCUUCUCAAAAUAACAUGGCCAAAGAAAGCUAUCCCUACAAAAUCAUAUAGUCUGGAUAUGCUCUAUCUUCGUCACACAAAAUAUUUAAAUCAUGCACAACCCCGAUGACAAGCCAAGCAACUAUUUCAUACUUUUGCUGUUCUCAAACUUUUUCAAUCUUCACGCAAUACAUGAGCGUGAGCCAUGGAUAUAACACUAUAGGUGGAAUAGAAUGGUGGUUGUGGAGAAGACAAAAAGAAGGAGAUAGUCUCACAUCAACUAGGCGUAUCAACGGUCUAUGGAGAUGCACAUCAAUAGAUAUCAAUGUGAGUGAGUAGGGAUUGCGAUGCAACAGAUGCACUGGAGCUAUAAGUGUAUGAAAGCUAAAAAAGAAACUAAGUGGGUGUGCAUCCAACUUGCUUGCUCAUGAAGACCUAGGGCAAUUUGAGGAAGCCCAUCAUUGGAAUAUACAUGCCUAGUUCUAUAAUGAAAAAUUCCCACCAGUAUAUGAAAGUGACAACAUAGGAUACUCUUUAUCAUGAAGAUCAUGGUGCUACUUUGAAGCACAAGUGUGGUAAAAGGAUAGUAGCAUUGCCCCUUCUCUCUUUUUCUCUCAUUUUUUUGUUUUUUGUUUUUUUGGGCCUCUUUUUUUUCAUCCGGAGUCUCAUCCCGACUUGUGGGGGAAUCAUAGGCUCCAUCAUCCUUUCCUCACUGGGACAAUGCUCUAAUAAUGAAGAUCAUCACACUUUUAAUUACCUACAAUUCAAGAAUUAUAGCUCGAUACUUAGAACAAAAUAUGACUCUAUCUGAAUGCCUCUGGCGGUGUACCGGGAUGUGCAAUGACUCAUUAGUGACAUGUAUGAGAAAAUCAUGAAAGGUGGCUUUGCCACAAAUAUGAUGCAACGACAUGAUCAUGCAAAGCAAAAUGACAAUGAUGAAUUGUGUCAUAAUAAACGGAAUGGUGGAAAGUUGCAUGUCAAUAUAUCUAAGAAUGGCUAUGGAAAUGCCAUAAUAGGUAGGUAUGGUGGCUGUUUUGAGGAAGGUAUAUGGUGGGUGUAUGGUACCUGUGAAAGUUGCACGACACUAGAGAGGCUAGCAAUGGUGGAAGGGUGAGAGUGCAUAUAAUCCAUGGACUCAACAUUAUUCAUAAAGAACUCACAUACUUGUUGCAAAAAUCUAUUAGUCAUUGAAACAAAGUACUACGCGCAUGCUCCUAGGGGGAUAGAUUGGUAGGAAAAGACCAUCGCUCGUCCCCGACCGCCACUCAUAAGGAAGACAAUCAAUAAAUAAAGCAUGCUCCAACUUCAUCACAUAAUGGUUCACCAUACGUGCAUGCUACGGGAAUCACAAACUUUAACACAAGUAUCUCUCUAAUUCACAACUAAUCUAUUAACAUGACUCUCAUAUCACCAUCCUCAUAUCUCAAAACAAUCAUAAGGAAUCAUACUUCUCAUAGUAUUCAAUGCACUUCAUAUGAAAGUUUUUAUUAUAUCUCUCUUGGACUAAAUUCAUAACCAAAGAAAAUUACCAUGUUGUUUAAGAUUAUCAAAAUAAUAUAAGUGAAGCAUGAGAGUUCAUCAAUUUCUCCAAAAUGAAACCACCGUCAUGCUCUAAAAGGAUAUAAGUGAAGCACUAGAGCAAAUGACAAACUACUCCGAAAGAUAUAAGUGAAGAUCAAUGAGUAGUUGAAUAAUUAUGUAACUAUGUGAAGACUCUCUAACAUUUAAGAAUUUCAGAUCUCGGGAUAUUAUUCAAACAACAAGCAAAACAAAAUAAAAGAAAAUGACGCUCCAAGCAAAACACAUAUCAUGUGGUGAAUAAAAAUAUAGCUCCAAGUAAAAUUACCGAUAGACGAAGACGAAAGAGGGGAUGCCAUCCAGGGCAUCCCCAAGCUUAGGCUCUUGGUUGUCCUUGAAUAUUAUAUUCAGGUGCCUUGGGCAUCCCCAAGCUUAGGCUGUUUCCACUCCUUAUUCCAUAGUCCAUCGAAUCUUUACUCAAAACUUGAAAACUUCACAACACAAAACUCAACAGAAAACUCGUAAGCUCCGUUAGUAUAAGAAAAUAAAUCACCACUUUUGGUACUGUUGUAAACUAAUUCUAAAUUCAUAUUGGUGUUGUAUCUACUAUAUUCCAACUUCUCUAAGGUUAAUACCCUCCGAUACUACUCAUAGAUUCAUCAAAAUAAGCAAACAACACAAAGAAAACAGAAUCUGUCAAAAACAGAACAAUAUGUAGUAAUCUGUAACUCUUGAAUACUUCUGUAACUCCAAAAAUCCAACCAAAUUAGGAAAACCUGAGCAAUUUGUGUACCAAUACAUAGAAAAAAUAAUCAUAUCAAAAUCAUGUUUAUGCGAAUUAUCAAAACUAAUUUACUGGGUGGAAAAGUUUCUGAUUUUCAGCAGGAUCAACAUAACUAUCACCGUAAGCUAUCCCAAAGGUCUUACUUGGCACUUUAUUGAAACAAAAGCUAUAAAACAUGAUUACUACAGUAGCUUAAUCAUGUUAACUCACCAAAACAGUAGGGGUAAAUGUUGGGUUGUCCCCCAGCAAGCGCUUUUCUUUAAUGCCUUUUUAGCUAGGCAUGAGGAUUUCAAUGAUGCUCACAUAAAAGAUAUGAAUUGAAACACAAAGAGAGCACCAUGAAGACUAUGACUAGCACAUUUAAGUCUAACCCACUUCCUAUGCCUAGGGAUUUUGUGAGCAAACAACUUAUGGGAACAAGAAUCAACUAGCAUAGGAAAGGAAAACAAGCAUAACUUCAAGAUUUUCAACACAUAGAGAGGAAACUUGAUAUUAUUGCAAUUCCUAAAAGCAUAAAUUCCUCCCUCAUAAUAAUUUUCAGUAGCAUCAUGAAUGAAUUGAACAAUAUAACUAUCACAUAAAGCAUUAUUUUCAUGAUGCAUAGGCAUAUAAUUUUUAUUACUCUCCACAUAAGCAAAUUUAUUUUCAUGAAUAGUAGUGGGAGCAAACUCAACAAAAUAACUAUCAUGUGAGGCAUAAUCCAAUUGCAAAUUAAAAUCAAGAUGACAAGUUUCAUGGUUAUCAUUAAUCUUUAUAGCAUACAUGUCAUCACAAUAAUAAUCAUAGUUAGCAACUUUGUUCUCAUAAUCAAUUGGAACCUCUUCCAAAAUAGUGGAUUCAUCACUAAAUAAAGUCAUGACCUCUCCAAAUACACUUUCAUAAUUAUCACAAUAAGAUUCAACACCCUCCAAAAUAGUGGGAUCAAUACUACCUACAGUUGGCACUCUUCCAAACCCACUUUCAUCAAUAUAAUCAUCAUAAAUAGUUGGAAUGCUUUCAUCAUAAUAAAUAUUCUCAUCAAAACUUGGGGGACUAAAAAUAUCAUAUUCAUCAAACAUUGCAUCCCCAAGCUUGUGGCUUUGCAUAUCAUUAGCAUCAUGGAUAUUCAAGGAAUUCAUACUAACAACAUUUCAAUCAUGCUCAUCAUUCAAAAAUUUAGUGCCAAACAUUUUAUCGACUUCUUCUUCUAGCAUUUGAGCACAAUUUUCCUUUUCAUCAUUUUCGGGAAAGACAUUAAAAAGAUGAAGCAUAUGUGGCACCCUCAAUUCCAUUUUUUGUAGUUUUAUUAUAUAGACUAAACUAGUGAUAAAACAAUAAACUAAAAGAUUCAAUUGGAAGAUCUAAAGAUAUACCUUCAAGCACUAACCUCCCCGGCAACGACGCCAGAAAAGGGCUUGAUGUCUACUAUGCAACCUUCUUCUUGUAGACAUUGUUGGGCCUCCAAGUGCAGAGGUUUGUAGGACAGUAGCAAAUUUCCCUCAAGUGGAUGACCUAAGGUUUAUGAAUCCGUGGGAGGCGCAGGAUAAAGAUGGUCUCUCUCAAACAACCCUGCAACCAAAUAACAAAGAGUCUCUUGUGUCCCCAACACACCCAAUACAAUGGUAAAUUGUAUAGGUUCACUAGUUCGGCAAAGAGAUGGUGAUACAAGUGCAAUAUGGAUGGUACAUAAAAGGUUUUUGUAAUCUGAAAUUAUAAAAACAACAAGGUAACAAGUGUUAAAAGUGAGAGAAAAUGGUAUUGCAAGGCUUCCAAACAAGGCCUAGGGUUUAUACUUUCGCUAGUGCAAGUUCUCUCAAUAAUAAUAACAUAAUUAGAUCAUAUAACAAUCCCUUAACAUGCAACAAAGAGUCACUCCAAAGUCAAUAAUAGCGGCGAACAAACGAAGAGAUUAUUGUAGGGUACGAAACCACCUCAAAGUUAUUCUUUCCGAUCAAUCUAUUGGGCUAUUCCUAUAAGUGUCACAAACAGCCUUAUAGUUUGUAGUAAAAUAACACCUUAAGACACACAUCAACCAAAACCCUAAUGUCACCUAGAUACUCCAAUGUCACCACAAGUAUCCGCGGGUAUGAUUAUACGAUAUGCAUCACACAAUCUCAGAUUCAUCUAUUCAAACCAACACAAAGUACUUCAUAGAGUGCCCCAAAGUUUCUAUCGGAGAGUCAAGACGAAAAUGUGUGCCAACCCCUAUGCAUUGAUUCCCAAGGUCACGGAACCCACAAGUUGAACACCAAAACAUACAUCAAGUGGAUCAAUAGAAUACCCCAUAUUCACCACGGGUUUCCCACGCAGGACAUACAUCAAGUGUUCUCAAAUCCUUAAAGACUCAAUCCGAUAAGAUAACUUCAAAGGAAAAAAUCAAUCCAUUAUAAGAAGGUAGAGGGGGAGAAACAUCAUAAGAUCCAACUAUAAUAGAAAAGGUCGCGGUACAUCAAGAUCGUGACAUAUCAAGAAGACGAGAGAGAGAGAGAGAGAGAUCAAACACAUAGCUACUGGUACAUACCCUCAGCUCCGAGGGUGAACUACUCCCUCCUCGUCAUGGAGAGCGCCGGGAUGAUGAUGAUGGCCACCGGUGAUGGACCCCCCUCCGGCAGGGUGCCGAAAUAGGGUCCUGAUUGGUUUUUGGUGGCUAUAGAGGCUUGCGGCGGCGGAACUCCCUAUCUAGGUUAUGUUCUGGAGGUUUAGGAAUUUAUAGGAGAGGUUGGCGUCAAGAACAAGUCAAGAGGCCCCACAGGGAGUCCACGAGGCNNNNNNNNNNNNNNNNNNNNNNNNNNNNNNNNNNNNNNNNNNNNNNNNNNNNNNNNNNNNNNNNNNNNNNNNNNNNNNNNNNNNNNNNNNNNNNNNNNNNNNNNNNNNNNNNNNNNNNNNNNNNNNNNNNNNNNNNNNNNNNNNNNNNNNNNNNNNNNNNNNNNNNNNNNNNNNNNNNNNNNNNNNNNNNNNNGGGCCCACGGGACUCCCCUCCGGUAACUCUUCGUUCUAGUAUUUUUUAUAUUUUCCAGAAAAAAUCUCCGUUUAUUUUCAGCGCAUUCCGAGAACUUUUAUUUCUGAACAAAAACAACACCACGGUAGUUUUGCUGAAAACAUCAUUAGUCCGGGUUAGUUCUGAGAAAAUCAUACCAAAAUCAUGUAAAAAUAUUGUAAACAUGGCAUGAAUACAUCAAAAAUUAUAGAUACAUUGGAGACGUAUCACAACCCAUUUUCAAUAUCAACCACUCAAACAGGAGCAAAAAAAACAUCAGAACAUAAAGCCGAACUCAUUUAAAAACUUCGCCCCAAAAGCCUAUUCCCUUUAUGUUGUGGGGUUAACACGAAAAAUGCCCUAGUGAAAGGACUUAGGUGCGAGGCCAUCACUACGGUGAUUAGAUCAAAGUGGUUGAAUGGGAUGAAGGACAUGAAUUUACCCAAGUUCGGCCCCUCACGUGGAGGUAAAAGCCUACUCGUGCUCUUUGUUGCUACUUCUUGAGUAUCAUUUACAAGGGAGCGGAUUCGCUUAACCUAGCUAUCGAUUGAUUGUAACUUAAGUUUACCCGCCGCAGGGACUCACCUUUAUAUACACAGGUCGAGGCCCUGGGCUUACAAGAGUCCGGGUCGGGUUAUACUUCGUAACCGAUCCUUGCUCUAAGUCGCCUUGCCUUCUUUGGCAAGUCGCCGUCGGGCGGCUUACACCGCCGAGUCACGCAUCGUCUUCUGGUAUUGAGCCUUCAACCGAUCCACUCUGUAAGCCGCCUCCUGGCUCUGUGUCUUGGUCUCUUGGGCCUGUCUAGGUUUCAUUGUUAAGUCACCAAUAGUCUGACCCGGCCCUUCUAGGGUAGGUUAUAUCGUGGGCUCAUAUCCCCAACAUUAGGCCCCAGAUUGAUUUGAACUUGUUCAUGUUAAUCCUCAACACCUCUGGGUUGCGAGUCUUCUUUGGUUCUUAAGAACACUCAUCCUUUAAAUUAUCUUCAUAACCCGCCAUAUGAAGGGAUGAUGUCAUCUGCAUAAAUUAAGAAAAUUUCUCAUGACAUCACAACGUAUCUUUUGCAUUAAUCAACCAUUUCAAAAAUCGAGGUUUCCUUUUUGCUGUAGAAGUUAUCAUGCCUCCUCGAUUCUUGCACACACAUAUUACUGUGCCCUCUUUUCCUUAUAAAUAGCCAUGGGGGCCUGCCUUUUUCACUUUCCACCCCGUCGCCUCCGCUUCUUCUUCUUCCUCGCGAUGGAUGCUGCGACCGGAGCUCCGCCAUCCCCGUCGAGCUACGCCAGUCAACCCCAGCCAAGGUCGUCACAUCUGCUUGUCGCCGUCAGGAUCCAGUGACAUGCCGCCGCUCUGCUUCAUCUUAGUUCAUCCCCUUUUCCGAAAAGAGGCUAAUUUUGAUCCAAAAACACCAUCAGGAUGCUGUGGUAGUAGUUUUAGUACCAUCUCAAUAUUGAACAACCUAUAUUCCCUUCUAAAAUUGAUAGGUUGCUCGCUAGUUCUUCCAUCAUUACCUUUUAGGUUUAGCAAUUGUUUUUCUUUUUGAACUGCAUGUAUAUUCGUAAAUAUAGCUGUCAGUUCCGAAAUCUGUUUAUUCCAUACUUAGUAAAAUUCACCAAUCUUGAAAUUUAGAUAGCUGACCCACCCUUCACCUUUCGGGCGGUUUACCCAUGUAUUUGUAACAAAAUCUGGUGCCCCAUACUUAGACAACCCGCCAAUAUGCUGCCGGCUUAUACUUUCAUAAUUUAGCCCUCCAUAUUCUCAUAGCUUGAUAGUCACCUUACCCCCAUAGUUAGGGCGGCUCAUAAUUUCUUAAUAGCUCACCAUAACAUAUUUGUCGUCUUAUAUGCAUAACUGACCCAUUAUUGCUGAGAUAUCAUUUAGCCACUUAGGCGCCUUAUCCUUACAUUCUUAACCCGCCAUAACUUUAUUCCUUGCCUGCAGUUUUUAACCCGGCCAAUCAUGUCUAGAACUCCCACUUCUUGUGACCGGGUAGCCUCCCAAGUCUCAGAACUCAUGCUCAAUGAGUAUGUGUACAUGGGUGUUUUACCGGCUAAAAAUGUCAUCCACUGGUGGGUUCCUGGUCCUGAAACUAUCCCUGAGCCUAGAGAGGGCGAAGUUGUAGUUUUCAUAGAUCACCUCCUUCGUGGCUUUUCACCACCCAGGUCAAAAAAAUUCCAGGACGCUCUGCAUUUUUACAAGCUUCAUCCUCAAGAUAUUGGCCCCAACUGUGUCACCAAUCUGUGCCAAUUUCAAGUAUUUCGUGAAGUGUAUCUGCAAGAGGAGCCGACUAUUGAUCGCUUCAAAGACUUCUUUUACAUCACCGCCAAACUGAAAUGACAGACGGACUCAGUCUUGAGCUUGGAUGUGUUUCCAUUCAGAGGCGGAGAGAUGUAAAUUUCCCCUCAGCCAUACUGCCAAGUCAUCCCAAGGGCUAGAACAACACUUGGUUUUAUUGGCAAAACAAUGCUCUGGCUGAAGAAAACCCCUUGUCGGGUUAUCGUCCCUACCGGCUCAACACCAAUACCGAGAUUCCUGGUUGAUUAACCACCGCAGAGCGUGCUCAAUAUGCACACAUAUUUUCAAAGAUAAGGGCUUUGAUAGCCAAUGGCUUAACUCGAGUUGAUUUGACCUGCUGCUGGGACUCAUGGAGGAUCUUACCGUUGAGCCGGCGCGGUGGCUUAAUGUGUCAAUAUACUCAUGAUGUGAAGGACCUAUGACGAUACAACUAGAAACCUUUGUCAGACAAGGAGAUCAAUGAAAUGGUCAAGUCUUUGCUUGGGGAGUCUCAAGAAGCCUGCAAUAGGACAGAGAUGAAUCAUUUCUGCACUCUUAACCUAGCCCCGCCAGUAAGUACCUUGAAUAGACCUUUGUCUUGCUUAUCUAUUUGUACACUUCAUGCCUUUUAAAUUGCCGCCUCUUAUUAUAUAUAUACAGGCUGGUUCCACCUUCUAGAAAAAGAAGCUAACAACAACUCUAAUGGCUAACAAGAGUAAGCAGUGAAGCCUCAAGGUCCGGGUCGUCGUAAGAAACCGAGAGCAGAAGAGCUACUCCAGAUAGAUGAGUUGGAGGUAGAACUUGACUCCGUUGGUCUUCUUUUCAUGCAACUAAUUGAUGCCGAUUCCUCUCAGGACGAAGUGGAGACAAGCUGUGCCAACGAAGUAGAGGUAAUUACUGUCUCCUCUGACUCAGAACCCUUGCCAAGAAAGAAAACAAGGCGGUCAUCCGGAAAGUAAGAUUUUCUCACCCUCAUGCUUAUAUGGACCCCAACUUUCUUUUGAAGAAACAACAUCACGAGUCCAGGUGUCAGACUCGGAGUGGCGGCAUUGAAGAACUUGUGGCUGGCUUAUCCAACACGCCGGCUCCUCUGAAAUGUCGCAAUGAGGUGCCUCAUAGCCCAUCUCUAUCUCUUCCACGAGCUGGCCUCGUGCGGCAACCUCUUAACCCUUUUGACUCCGACUAUCAUGGAACACCUCCGUCAUCUGGCAACUCAACAGGAACAUAGCUUCCUACCUUCGUGGUUAACCCAGGGUAAAUGUUUACAUUUGUUGACAAAAACUUGUUGUCACAUACUCAUAAGCUUUUAUACUCUUGUCAUAGGGCCAAGGCCAAAACUGACAAGAAGAAAAAGGUGGGCGACUCUUCCAAGGCUCCCGAGGUCUUUGAGCCAGAGAAGCAAGUGUUGAAAACCCCUGAGGUCCCAAUCCAAAAUCCUUAAGACCCUGUCAAUCAGCAAAUUGAUCUGCCUCCGCAAACUAAGGGAUCACCUUCUGAGGUCAUGGAUACUGACGCUAACCCGGCAGACAACCAUGACCUGCCAAGUCCUAAGCCUUCCUCUCCUGCCAAAUCAACUGACAAGAGCCCUGUUGCUGACAAUGUUGAUGACAUUGCUAUCACCGGAUUAGCUUUUAAAGCGCCCAAAGCCUCCAAAGUGAUAGCAGAAAGCUCCAAAAGGUGUUAUAAAAUAUUUCUUUUCUUGGUCUUAGACUGCCAUCUUGAUCUGAUGAUAACUAGAAUAAGCAUCCAGGAAGCAUAAACUCUCACAACCCACCGUUGCAUAAAUGAUUUGGUUGAUACGAGGGAGAGCAAAUGGAUUAGCUGGACAAGCCUUGUUAAGAUCCGUGUAAUCAACACACAUACGCCAUGCGCCAUUUUUCUUAAGUACAAGCACAUGGUUAGCCAACCACUCAAGGUGAAAGACUUCCACGAUAAACCCGGCAACCAAGAGCCAGGUACCUCUUCUCCAAUAGCUUUACGUAGUUCUUCACUGAAACAACAGAGGAAUUGCUUGAUUGGCUUAACUUUGGGAUCCACAUUAAGAUGGUGCUCAACAAAUUCUCUCGGUACACCCAACAUGUCAGAAGGUUUCCAUGCAAAGAUGUCCCGGUUCUCACGGAUGAAUUCAAUGAGCAUGCUUUCCUAUUUGGGAUCCAUAUAAGCCCCCACAGUGAAAUGCUGAGAUGAGUCGCUAGGAACAAAUUCCACUUGCUUGGUAUCAUCAGCCGACUUAAAUUUCAACAGAGGGUCCUAUUCAGUGCUAGGCUUCUUCAUAGGGGUCAUAUCAGUUGGGUCAACAUUAUAUUUAUAAAACCUGAGCUCCUCAGUGGCACAAGCUGACUCUGGAUAAGCAGCAUCUCCUUCCUCGCACUCCAGGGCGAGUUUGCGGUUUCCAUGAAUAGUGAUUGUCCCUUUUGGCCCUGGCAUCUUAAGAUUCAAGUAAAUAUAACACGGGCGAGCCAUAAACCGAGCAUAAGCCGUCCGUCCAAAUAAAGCAUUGUUGGAAAUAUUCCCUAGAGGCAAUAAUAAAUUGGUUAUUAUUAUAUUUCCUUGGUCAUGAUAAUUGUCUAUUAUUCAUGCUAUAAUUAUAUUAACAAGAAACCGUAAUACAUGUGUGAAUACAUAGACCACAACAUGUCCCUAGUAAGCCUCUAGUUGACUAGCUCGUUGAUCAAUAGAUGGUUAUGGUUUCCUGACCAUGGACAUUGGAUGUCAUUGAUAACGGGAUCACAUCAUUAGGAGAAUGAUGUGAUGGACAAGACCCAAUCCUAAGCAUAACACAAGAUCGUGUAGUUCGUUUGCUAGAGCUUUUCUAAUGUCAAGUAUCAUUUCCUUAGACCAUGAGAUUGUGCAACUCCCGGAUACCAUAGGAAUGAUUUGGGUGUAUCAAACUUCACAACGUAACUGGGUGGCUAUAAAGAUGCACUACAGGUAUCUUCGAAAGUGUCUGUUGGGUUGGCACGAAUCAAGAAUUGGAUUUGUCACUCCGUAUGACGAAGAGGUAUCUCUGGGCCCACUCGGUAAUGCAUCAUCAUAAUGAGCUCAAUGUGACUAAUGAGUUAGCCACGGGAUCAUGCAUUACUGAACGAGUAAAGAGACUUGCCGGUUACAAGAUUUAACAAGGUAUAGGGAUACUGACGAUCAAAUCUCGGGCAAGUAACAUACCGAUGGACAAAGGGAAUUGUAUACGAGAUUGAUUGAAUCCCCGACAUCGUAGUUCAUCCGAUGAGAUCAUCGUGGAACAUGUGGGAGACAAUAUGGGUAUCCAGAUCCCGCUAUUGGUUAUUGGCCGAAAAGGUAUCUCGGUCAUGUCUGCAUGGUUUCCCGAACCCGUAGGGUCUACACACUUAAGGAUCGGUGACGCUAGAGUUGUUAUGGGAAUAGUAUGUGGUUACCAAAGGUUGUUAGGAGUCCCGGAUGGAUGCCAGACGUGACGAGGAGUUCCAGAAUGGUCCAAAGGUGAAGAUCCAUAUAUUGGACGAAGGGUAUUGGAGUCCGGAAGUGUUCCGAGGGUACCAGGCUAUGGCCAGCAUGACCGAAAGGUGUUUCGGGGGGCCCGACAAGUGUUGCAGGGCCUCAUGGGCCAAGGGGAGGGGGCAAACCAGCCCACUAAGGGGCUAUGCACCCCACACCCUUUCCCAUGUUGCUUGGGGAGGUGGGGUGCCUCCAGCUGACUUGGGAGGCAAGCCUCCACCUGCUUGGCUUGGGGGGCAAGUCUCCCUAGGGUUUCCCUAGGGAGAUCCAAUCUUCCCUGGCCGCUGCCCCCUAGGGGAAACCCUAGGGCGCCUCCCCCUCUUCCCUUCCCCCUAUAUAUAGUGAGGAGGUGGGAGGGCAGCCGUGACCCUUCCCCUGGCGCAGCCCCUCCCUCCUCCAACACCUCCUCCUCCUUCGUAGUGCUUGACGAAGCCCUGAAGGAGAACCACAAGCUCCACCACCACACCGUCGUGCUACCAGAGCUCUCCCUCAACUUCUCCUCUCCCCUUGCUGGAUCAAGGAGGAGACGUCCCCGGUCUGUACGUGUGUUGAACGCGGAGGCGCCGUCCGUUCGGUGCUAGAUUGGAUCUUCCGCGAUUUGAAUCGCCACAAGUACGACUCCAUCAACCGUGUUCUUGUAACGCUUCCGCUUAGCGACCUUCAAGGGUAUGAAGAUGCACUCCUGCUCUCUCUCUCUCGUUGCUAGUAUCUCCUAGAUUGAUCUUGGUGACACAUAGGAAAAUUUUGAAUUAUUACUACGUUCCCCAACAGUGGAAUCAUGAGCUAGGUCUAUGCAUAGAUUCUAUGCAUGAGUAGAACACAAGUAGUUGUGGGUGUUAGUUUGUUCAAUAUGCUUACCAUUACUAGUCCUAUCUUGAUUUGGCGGCAUUGUGGGAUGAAGAGGCCCGGACCGACCUUACACGCACGCUUAUGUGAGACAGGUUCCACCGACUGACAUGCACUUGUUGCAUAAGGUGGCUAGUGGGUGUAUGUCUCUCCCACCUUAGUCGGAUUGGAUUCGAUGAAAAUGGUCCUUAUGAAGGGUAAAUAGCAAUUGGCAUAUCACCGUUGUGUCUUUUGCGUAGGUAAGAAAUGUUCUUGCUAGAAACCCAUAGUAGCCAUGUAAAAUAUGCAACAACAAUUAGAGGACGUCUAACUUGUUUUUGCAGGGUAUGCUAUGUGAUGUGAUAUGGCCAAAAGGAUGUGAUGAAUGAUAUAUCUGAUGUAUGAGAUUGAUCAUGUCCUUGUAAUAGGAAUCAUGACUUGCAUGUCGAUGAGUAUGACAACCGGCAGGAGCCAUAGGAGUUGUCUUAAUUUAUUGUAUGACAUGCGUGUCAAUGAGAACGCCAUGUAAUUACUUUACUUUAUUGCUAACCGUUAGCCAUAGUAGUAGAAGUAAUAGUUGGCGAGACAACUUCAUGAAGACACGAUGAUGGAGAUCAUGGUGUCGUGCCGGUGACGAAGGUGAUCAUGCCGCGCCUCAAAGAUGGAGAUCAAAGGCGCAAAAUGAUAUUGGCCAUAUCAUGUCAAUUUAUGAUUUGCAUGUGAUGUUUGUCAUGUUUACAUCUUAUUUUCUUAGAACGACGGUAGCAUAAAUAAGAUGACCCCUCACUAAAAUUUCAAGAAAGUGUUCCCCCUAACUGUGCACCAUUGCUAAGGUUCGUUGUUUCGAAGCACCACGUGAUGAUAGGGUGUGAUAGAUUCUAACAUUCACAUACAACAGGUGUAAGCCAGAUUUAAACAUGCAAAACACUUAGGUUGACUUGACGAGCCUAGCAUGUACAGACAUGGCCUCGGAACACGAGAGACCGAAAGGUCGAACAUGAGUCGUAUAGCAGAUAUGAUCAACAUGGAGAUGUUCACCGAUGAUGACUAGUCCGUCUUGAUAUGUCUCCAACGUAUCUAUAAUUUUUGGUUGUUCCAUGCUAUUAUAUUACACCUUUUGGCUGUUUAUGGGCUUUAUUUUACACGUUUAUAUCAUUUUUGGGACUAACCUACUAACCGGAGGCCCAGCCCGUAUUGCUGUUUUUUUGCCUAUUUCAGUAUUUCGAAGAACAUGAAUGUCAAACGGAGUCCAAACGGAAUGAAACCUCCGGGAGCGUGAUUUUUGAAACGAACGUGAUCCAGAGGACUUGGAGUGCAAGUCAAGAAGCAAUCGAGGCGGCCAGGAGAUAGGAGGGCGCGCCCACCCCUCCUGGGCGCGCCCCUGUCUCCUGGGCCCCUCGAGCGGCCACCGACAUACUUCUUCCUCCUAUAUAUACCUACGUACCCCGAAAACAUCCAGGGAGCCACCGAAACACAAUUUCCACCGCCAUAACCUUCUGUAUCCGCGAGAUCCCAUCUUGGAGCCUUCACCGGUGCUCCACCAGAGGGGGAAUCGACCAUGGAGGGCUUCUACAUCAACACCAUAGCCCCUCCGAUGAGUUUCGAGUAGUUUACCACAAACCUUCGGGUCCAUAGUUAUUAGCUAGAUGGCGUCUUCUCUCUUUUUUGACCUCAAUACAAUGUUCUCCCCCUCUCUUGUAGAGAUCUAUUUGAUGUAAACUCUUUUUGCGGUGUGUUUAUCGAGAUCCGAUGAAUUGUGGGUUUAUGAUCAAGUUUAUCUAUGAGAAAUAUUUGAAUCUUCUCUGAAAUCUUUUAUGUAUGAUUGAGUUAUCUUUGCAAGCCUCUUCGAAUUAUCUGUUUGGUUUGGCCUACUAGAUUGAUCUUUCUUGCCAUGGGAGAAGUGCUUAGCUUUGGGUUCAAUCUUGCGGUGUCCUUACCCAGUGACAGAAAGGGUUGCAAGGCACGUAUUGUGUUGUUGCCAUCGAGGAUAAAAAGAUGGGGGUUUAUACCAUAUUGCUUGAGUUUGUCCCUCUACAUCAUGUCAUCUUUGUUAAUGCGUUACUCUGUUCUUAUGAACUUAAUACUCUAGAUGCAUGCUAGAUAGCGGUCGAUGUGUGGAGUAAUAGUAGUAGAUGCAGGCAGGAGUCGGUCUACUUGUCACGGAUGUGAUGCCUAUAUACAUGAUCAUGCCUAGAUAAUCUCAUAAUUAUUCGCUUUUCUAUCAAUUGCUCGACAGUAAUUUGUUCACCCACCGUAAUACUUAUGCUAUCUUGAGAGAAGCCACUAGUAAAACCUAUGGCCCCCGGGUCCAUCUUUUAUCAUAUAAGCUUUCAAUGUACUUUUAUUUGCAUCUUUACUUUUUGCAUCUAUAAUAUAAAAUACCAAAAAUAUAUUUAUCUUAUCAUACUAUCUCUAUCAGAUCUCACUUUCGCAAGUGUCUGUGAAGGGAUUGACAACCCCUUUAUUGCGUUGGUUGCGAGUUCUUUGUUUGUUUGUGUAGGUGCGUGGCACUUUUGAGGAGCCUCCUACUAGAUUGAUACCUUGGUUCUCAAAAACUAAGGGAAAUACUUAUGGUACUAUUGCUGAAAUCACCCUUUCCUCUUCAAGGAAAACCAACGCACGCUCAAGACGUAGCAAGAAGGAUUUCUGGCGGCAUUGCCGGGGAGGUCUUCGCUCAAGUCAAGACAUACCAAGUACCCAUCACAAACUCAUCUCCCUCGCAUUUACAUUAUUUGCCAUUUGCCUCAUUAUUUGCCAUUUGCCUCUCAUUUUCCUCUCCCCCACUUCACCCUUGCCAUUUUAUUUGCCCUCUCUUUCCCAAUUCUCUCUCUCCCUUUCGCUUGCCUUUUUCUGUUUGCUUGUGUGUUGGAUUACUUGUUGCCAUGGCGCAAGAUAAUACCAAAUUGUGUGAUUUUUCCAAUACCAAUAAUAAUGAUUUCCUUAGUACUCUGAUUGCUCCUCUUAAUGAUGUUGAGUCUUGUGAAAUCAAUACUGCUUUGUUGAAUCUUGUUAUGAAAGAUCAAUUCGCCGGCCUUCCUAGUGAAGAUGCCGCUACUCAUCUAAACAACUUUGUUGAUUUGUGUGAUAUGCAAAAGAAGAAAGAUACGGAUAAUGAUAUUGUUAAAUUGAAGUUAUUUCCCUUUUCACUUAGAGAUCGUGCUAAAGUUUGGUUUUCGUCUUUGCCUAAAAAUAGUAUUGAUUCUUGGAACAAGUGCAAAGAUACUUUUAUCUCUAAGUAUUUUCCUCCCGCUAAGAUUAUCACUCUUAGGAACGAUAUUAUGAAUUUUAAACAACUUGAUCAUGAGCAUGUUGCCCAAUCUUGGGAAAGAAUGAAAUUGAUGAUUCAUAAUUGCCCUACUUAUGGUUUGAAUUUAUGGAUGAUCAUACAAAAUUUUUAUGCCAGUUUGAACUUUGCUUUUAGAAAUCUUUUAGAUUCAGCCGCGGGAGGCACGUUUAUGGAAGUCACGUUAGGAGAUGCUACAAAACUUCUUGAUAAUAUUAUGGCUAAUUAUUCUUAAUGGCACACCGAAAGAUCUUCUAGUAAAAAAGUGCAUGCUAUAGAAGAAAUCAAUGUUUUGAGUGGAAAGAUGGAUGAACUUAUGAAGUUGUUUGCUACUAAAAAUACUCCUCUUGAUCCCAAUGAUAUGCCUUUGUCUACUUUGAUUGAGAAUAAUAAUGAAUCUAUGGAUGUGAAUUUUGUUGGUAGGAAUAGUUUUGGAAACAAUGUUUAUGGAGGAAACUUUAAUUCUAGACCGUUCCCUAGUAAUUCCUCUAAUAAAUAUGGAAAUUCCUACAAUAAUUCUUAUGGUAAUUUUAAUAAGAUGCCCUAUGAUUUUGAGAAUAGUGUGAAAGAAUUUAUGAUUUCUCAAAAGAAUUUUAAUGCUUUGCUUGAAGAAAAAUUACUCAAAGUUGAUGAUUUGGCUAGGAAAGUUGAUAGACUUUCGCUUGAUGUUGAUUCUCUUAAACUUAGAUCUACUACUCCUCAGCAUGAUAUCAAUGAGUCUCCCAAAGCCAUGAGAAUUUCCAUCGAUGAGUGCAAGGAAAGAACCGCUAGAUUGCGUGCUAAGAAAGAUUGCUUUGUAAAGGCGUGUUCUUCUAGUUUCCAUGAAAAUAAUGAUGAAGAUCUUAAAGUUAUUGAUGUGUCUCCUAUUAGAUCUUUGUUUUGCAAUAUGAAUCUUGAUAAUAAUGGGACUGGAGAUGAGUCAACUUUAUUUAGAAGGCGUCCCAAGAAUUCAGAGUUUUUAGAUAUUGAUGCUAAAUUUGGUAAAAGUGGGAUUGGAGAGGUCAUGACUUUAAAUAGUAUUGAACCCACUAUCUCGGAUUUCAAGGAAUUUGAUUAUGAUAAUUGUUCUUUAUAAAGUUGUAUUCGCUUGUUGCAAUCCGUUGUUAAUUCUCCUCAUGCUUAUAGUCAAAAUAAAGCUUUUACCAAACAUAUCGUUGAUGCCUUGAUGCAAUCUUUUGAUGAAAAACUUAAUUUGGAAGUUUCUAUACCUAGAAAACUUAAUAACGAGUGGAAACCUACUAUAAAGAUUAAAAUUAAAGAUCAUUAGUGUUUUGCUUUGUGUGAUUUGGGUGCUAGUGUUUCCACAAUUCUGAAAACUUUAUGUGAUAUUCUACGUUUCCAUGAUCUUGAUGAUUGCUCUUUAAAUUUGCACCUUGCGGAUUCCACCAUUAAAAAUCCAAUGGGAAGGAUCAAUGAUGUUAUCAUUGUUGCAAAUAGAAAUUUGGUGCCCAUAGAUUUUAUCGUUCUUGAUAUAGAUUGCAAUCUUUCUUGCCCUAUUAUUCUUGGUAGACCUUUCCUUAGAAUGAUUGUUGAGAUUAUUGAUAUGAAGGAAGGGAAUAUGAGAUUACAAUUUCCAUUAAAGAAAGGCAUGGAGCACUUUACAAGAAAUAAAGUCAAAUUACCUUAUGAAUCUAUCAUGCGAGCUACCUAUGAAUCAAGUGCCAAAGAUGGCACUACUUAGAUCUAUCUUCGCUUUUAUGCCUAGCUAGGGGCAUUAAACGAUAGCGCUAGUUGGGAGGCAACCCAAUUUUCUUUGUGUUUUUUUUGUUUUUGUUCCUGUUUAGUAAUAAAUUUUGCAUCUAACUUCUGUUUAGAUGUGUUUUAUGUUUUAAUUAGUGUUUGUGCCAAGUAGAACCUAUAGGAUAACCUAUGAUGAUAGUUGAUUUGAUUCUGCUGAAAAACAGAAACUUUGUGCUCACGAGAACAAAUUCAAUAAAUCACAGAAACGUGAUUUUGCAUUUAUUCGUUUUGCUGCUGAUCAAUAAACAAAUUUUCCAGGACUUCCUAUUUUGGUAGGAUUUUUAGAGUUCCAGAAGUUUGCGUUAGUUACAGAUUGCUACAGACUGUUCUGUUUUUUGACAGAUUCUGUUUUUCGUGUGUUGUUUGCUUAUUUUGAUGCAUCUAUGGCUAGUAUUAAGUGGUAUGAACCAUAGAGAACUUGGAAUACAGUAGGUUUAACACCAAUAUAAGUAAAGAAUGAGUUCAUUACAGUACUUUAUGUGGUGGUUUUGUUUUCUUUCAUUAACAGAGCUUAUGAGAUUUCCUAUUGAGUUUUGUGUUCUUAAGUUUUCCAGUUUUGGGUAAAGCUUUGAUGGACUAUGGAAUAAGGAGUGGAAAAAGCCUAAGCUUGGGGAUUCCCAAGGCACCCCAAGAUAUUCAAUAAUAUCCAAAAGCCUAAGCUUGGGGAUGCCCCGGAAGGCAUCCCCUCUUUCGUUUUCGUUCAUUGGUAACUUUACUUGGAGCUAUAUUUUUAUCCGCCACAUGAUAUGUGUUUUGCUUGGAGCGUCGUGUAUUAUAUUAGUCUUUGAUUUUUAGUUUACCACAAUCAUACUUGCUGUACACACCUUUUGGGAGAAGCCCACUUGAUUAGAAUUUAUUAGAAUAUGCUAUGUGCUUCACUUAUAUCUUUUGAGCUAGAUAGUUUUUGCUCUAGUGCUUCACUUAUAUCUUUUUGAGCACGGCGGUGGCUUAAUUUUGUAGAAAUUGCUAGUCUAUCAUGCUUCACUUAUAUUAUUUUGAGAGUCUCUUAGAACAGCAUGGUAUUUUCUAUGGUUAUGAAUUUGGUCCUAGAAUGAUGAGCAUCCAAGUUGGGUAUAAUAAAAACUACCAUAGAAAGUGCAUUAAACACUAGGAUCAAUUUGAUGCUUGAUAAUUGUUUUGAGAUAUAAAGGUAGUAAUGUUAGAGUCAUGCUAGUGGGUAAUUAUGAAAUUGAGAAAUACUUGUGUUGAAGUUGGCAAGUCCCGUAUCAUGCAUGUAUGGUAAAAGUUGUGUGACAAAUUUGUUGCAUGAGGUUCUCUUUUGAUUGUCUUCCUUAUGAGUGGCAGUCGGGGACGAGCAAUGGUCUUUUCCUACCAAUCUAUCCCUCUAGGGGCAUGCGUAUUAGUACUUUGCUUCGAGGGCUAAGUAUACUUUUGCAAUAAGUAUAUGAGUUCUUUAUGACUAAUGUGAGUCCAUGGAUAUACGCACACUCAUCCUUCCAUUUAGCUAGCCUCUAUUAUACCACGCAACUUUCGCCGGUAGCAUGCACCCAUUAUUUACCUUCCUCAAAACAGCCACCAUAUCUACCUAUUAUGGCAUUUCCAUAGCCAUUCCAAGAUAUAUUGCCAUGCAACUUUCCACCAUUCUGUUUAUUAUGACACGCUCCAUCAUUGUCAUAUUGCUCUUUGCAUGAUCAUGUAGUUGACAUCGUAUUUGUGGCAAAGCCACCUUCAUAAUUUUCAUACAUGUCGCUCUUGAUUCAUUGCAUAUCCCGGUACACCGCCGGAGGAAUUCAUAUAGAGUCAUAUCUUGUUCUAGCUUUGAGUUGUAAAUCAAUAAAAGUGUGAUGAUCUUCAUUAUUAGAGCAUUGUCCCAGUGAGGAAAGGAUGAUGAAGACUAUGAUUCCCCCACAAGUCGGGAUGAGACUUCGGACUUUACAAAGAAAAAAAGAAGAGAGAAAGGCCAAAAAAAAAAAAGGCCAAAGAAACAAAAAGAAAAAAAGGAAAAUAAAAUAAAAUAAAAUGAGAGAAAAAGGGAGAAAGGACAAUUGCUACUAUGUCUUUUCCACACUUGUGCUUCAAAAUAGCACCAUGAUCUUCAUGAUAGAGAGUCUCCUAUGUUGUCACUUUCAUAUACUAGUGGGAAUUUUUCAUUAUAGAACUUGGCUUGUAUAUUCCAAUGAUGGGCUUCAUCAAAAUGCCCUAGGUCUUCGCGAGUAAGCAAGUUGGAUGCACACUCACUUAGUUUCUUUUGUUGAGAUUUCAUACAUUUAGAGCUCUAGUGCAUCCGUUGCAUGGCAAUCCCUACUCACUCACAUUGAUAUCUAUUAAUGGGCAUCUCCGUAGCCCGUUGAUACGCCUAGUUGAUGUGAGGCUAUCUUCUCCCUUUUGUCCUUACAACCACCACCAUAUACCACCAUAGUGCUAUGUCCAUGGCUUGCGCUCAUGUAUUGCGUAAGAGUUGAAAAAAGCUGAAGCGCAUUAAAAAGUAUGAACCAAUUUCUCGGCUCGUCAUCGGGGUUGUACAUGAUGGGAGUAUUUUGUGUAAUGAAAAUGAAGCAUGGCCUAACUAUAUGAUUUUGUAGGGAUAAGCUUUCUUUGGCUAUUCUAUUUUGAUAGGACAUGAUUAUUUGUUAGUAUGCUUCGAAGUAUUAUUAUUUUUACGUUUUAUAAGCUUUUAUCUUGAAUAAUUUGGAUCUGAAAAAUCAUGCCACAAUAAAGAAAAUUACAUUGAGAAUUAUGCUAGGUAGCAUUCCACAUCCAAAAUUCUGUUUUUAUCAUUUACCUACUCGAGGACGAGUAGGAAUUAAGCUUGGGGAUGCUUGAUACGUCUCCAACGUAUCUAUAAUUUUUGAUUGUUCCAUGCUAUUAUAUUACCCCUUUUGGAUGUUUAUGGGCUUUAUUUUACACAUUUAUAUCAUUUUUGGGACUAACCUACUAACCGGAGGCCCAGCCCGUAUUGCUGUUUUUUUUGCCUAUUUUAGUAUUUCAAAGAAAAGGAAUAUCAAACGGAGUCCAAACGGAAUGAAACCUUCGGGAGCGUGAUUUUUGGAACGAACGUAAUCCAGAGGACUUGGAGUGCAAGUCAAGAAGCAAUCGAGGCGGCCAGGAGAUAGGAGGGCGCGCCCACCCCUCCUGGGCGCGCCCUAUCUCCUGGGCCCCUCGAGCGGCCACCGACAUACUUCUUCCUCCUAUAUAUACCUAUGUACCCCGAAAACAUCCAGGGAGCCACCGAAACACAAUUUCCACCGCCGUAACCUUCUGUAUCCUCGAGAUCCCAUCUUGGAGCCUUCGCCGGCGCGCCGCUGGAGGGGGAAUCGACCAUGGAGGGCUUCUACAUCAACACCAUAGCCCCUCCGAUGAGUUGUGAGUAGUUUACCACAGACCUUCGGGUCCAUAGUUAUUAGCUAGAUGGCUUCUUCUCUCUUUUUUGAUCUCAAUACAAUGUUCUCCCCCUCUCUUGUGGAGAUCUAUUCGAUGUAAACUCUUUUUGCGGUGUGUUUGUCGAGAUCCAAUGAAUUGUGGGUUUAUGAUCAAGUUUAUCUAUGAGAAAUAUUUGAAUCUUCUCUGAAAUCUUUUAUGUAUGAUUGAGUUAUCUUUGCAAGUCUCUUCAAAUUAUCAGUUUGGUUUGGCCUACUAGAUUAAUCUUUCUUGCCAUGGGAGAAGUGCUUAGCUUUGGGUUCAAUCUUGCGGUGUCCUUAUCCAGUGAUAGAAAGGGUUGCAAGGCACGUAUUGUAUUGUUGCCAUCGAGGAUAAAAAGAUGGGGUUUAUAUCAUAUUUCUUGAGUUUAUCCCUCUACAUCAUGUCAUCUUUGUUCAUGCGUUACUCUGUUCUUAUGAGCUUAAUACUCUAGAUGCAUGCUGGAUAGCGGUCGAUGUGUGGAGUAAUAGUAGUAGAUGCAGGCAGGAGUCGGUCUACUUGUCACGGACGUGAUGCCUAUAUACAUAAUCAUGCCUAGAUAAUCUCAUAAUUAUUCGCUUUUCUAUCAAUUGCUCGACAGUAAUUUGUUCACCCACCGUAAUACUUAUGCUAUCUUGAGAGAAGCCACUAGUGAAACCUAUGCCCCCCGGGUCCAUCUUUUAUCAUAUAAGCUUUCAAUCUACUUUUAUUUGCAUCUUUAAUUUUUGCAUCUAUAUUAUAAAAUACCAAAAAUAUAUUUAUCUUAUCAGACUAUCUCUAUCAGAUGUCACUUUCGCAAGUGGCCGUGAAGGGAUUGACAACCCCUUUAUUGCGUUGGUUGCGAGUUCUUUGUUUGUUUGUGUAGGUGCGUGGGACUUUUGAGGAGCCUCCUACUGGAUUGAUACCUUUGUUCUCAAACACUGAGGGAAAUACUUAUGCUACUAUUGCUGCACCACCCUUUCCUCUUCAAGGAAAACCAACACAAGCUCCAUACAUAGCACGUCUCACGUGAUGAUUGGACACGGCCUAGUUGAUUCGGAUCAUGUAUCACUUAGAUGACUAGAGGGAUGUCUAUCUGAGUGGGAGUUCUUUAAAUAAUUUGAUUAGAUGAACUUAAUUAUUAUGAACAUAGCCAAAAGGUCUUUGCAAUUUAUGUCAUAGCUUGCGCUUUAGUUCUAUUGUUUUAGAUAUGUUCCUAGAGAAAAGUUUAGUUGAAAGUUGAUAGUAGCAAUUAUGCGUACUGGGUCUGUAAACUGAGGAUUGUCCUCAUUGCUGCCCAGAAGGCUUAUAUCCUUAAUGCACCGCUCGGUGUGCUGGACCUCGAACAUCGUCUGUGGAUGUUGCGAACAUCUGACAUACACGUUUUGAUGACUACGUGAUAGUUCAUUGUGUAAUGCUAAACGGUUUAGAAUUGAGGCGCCGAAGACAUUUUUGAAACGUCUUGGAACAUGUGAGAUGUUCCAAGGGCUAAAAUUGGGAUUUCAGGCUCGUGCCCACGUCAAGAGGUAUGAGACCUCUGACGAGUUUCUUAGCCUACAAAGGGAGAAAAGCUCAAUCGUUGAGCAUGUGCUCAGAUUGUCUGAGUACUACAAUUACUUGGAUCGAGUGGGAGUUAAUCUUCCAGAUGAGAUAGUGAUGGUUGUCCAAAGUCACUACCACCAAGCUACUAGAGCUGCGUGAUGAACUAUAACAUAUCAGGGAUAGAUAUGAUGAUCCUUGAGCUAUUCGUGGUGUUUGACACCGCGAAAAUAGAAAUCAAGUAGGAGCAUCAAUUGUUGAUGGUUAGUAAAACCACUAGUUUCUAGAAGGGCAAGUGCAAGAAUGGAUACUUCAUCAAAUGGCAAAUCAGUUGCUGCUCUAGUGAAGAAACCCAAGGUUGAACCAAAACCCGAGACUAAGUGCUUCUUUAACAAGGGGAACGGUCACUGAAGCAAAACUACCCUAGAUACUUGAUAGAUGAGAAGGCUGGCAAGGUGGAUAGAAGUAUAUUGGAUAUACAUUAUAUUAAUGUGUACUUUAUUAGUAUUCCUAGUAGCACCAGAGUAUUAGAUACCGGUUCGGUUGCUAAGUGUUAGUAACUCAAAAUAAAAGGGCAAUGUAAUAAAUGGAGACUAUCUAAAGGCAAGGUGACGAUAUGUGUUGGAAGUGUUUCCAAGGUUAAUGUGAUCAAACAUCGCACGCUGCCUCUACCAUCGGGAUUGGUGUUAAACCUAAAUAAUUGUUAUUUAGUGUUUGCGUUGAGCAUAGACAUGAUUGGAUUAUGUCUAUCACAAUAUGGUUAUUCAUUUAAGGAGAACAAUGGUUACUCUGUUUAUUUGAAUAAUACCUUCAAUGGUGUUGCACCUAAAAUGAAUGGUUUAUUGAAUCUCGAUCGUAGUGAUACACAUGUUCAUGCCAGAAGAUAUAAGAUAGUAAUGAUAUAGUACCACCUUCUUGUGGCACUGUCAUUUGAGUCAUAUUGGUAUAAAACGCAUGAAGAAGCUCCAUGUUGAUGGAUCUUUGGACUCACUUGUUUUUUUGAAAAAUUUGAGACAUGCGAACCAUGUCUAUUGGUAUGUAUGCAUGAAGAAACUCCAUGCAGAUGGAUCGUUUGGACUCACUUGAUUUUGAAUCACUUGAGACAUGCAAAUCAUACCACAUGGGCAAGAUGACUGAAAGGCCUCAUUUUCAGUGAGAUGGAACAAGAAAGCAACUUUUUGGAAGUAAUACAUUUUGAUGUCUGCAGUCCAAUGAGUGCCGAGGCACGCAGUGGAUAUCGUUAUGUUCUUACUUCACAAAUGAUUUGAGUAGAUGCUAAGUAUAUUUACUUGAUGAAACAGAAGUCUGAAUUAUUGAAAGGUUCAAGUAAUUUCAGAGUGAAGUUGAAGAUCGUCGUGACAAGAGGAUAAAAUGUCUAUGAUAUGAUCAUAGAGAUAAAUAUCUGAGUUACGAGUUUGGUACAAAAUUAAGAAGUUGAGGAAAUUGUUUCACAACUAAUACCGCCUGGAACACCAUAGUGUGAUGGUAUGUCCAAACAUCAUAGAUGCACCCUAUUGGAUAUGGUGCAUACCAUGAUGUCUCUUAGCGAAUUACCACUAUCGUUUAUGGGUUAGGCAUUAGAGACAACCACAUUCACAUUAAAUAGGGCACCACAUAAUUCCGUUGAGAUGACACCGUAUGAACUAUGGAUUAGAGAAACCUAAGCUGUCAUUUCUUAAAAGCUUGGGGCUGCGACGCUUGUGUGAAAAAGUUUCAGCCUGAUAAGCUCGAACCCAAAGCGUAUAAAUGCAUCUUCAUAGGACACCCAAAACAGUUGGGUAUACCUCCUAUCUCAGAUCAGGAAGCAAAAGUGAUUGUUUCUAGAAAUGGGUCCUGUCUCGAGGAAAAGUUUCUCUCGAAAGAAGUGAGUGGGAGGAUGGUGGAGACUUGAUGAUGAGGUUAUUGAACCAUCACUUCAACCAGUGUGUAGUAGGGCACAUGAAGUUGUUCCUGUGGCGCCUACACCAGUUGAAGUGGAAGCUGAUGAUAGUGAUCAUGAAUCUUCGGAUCAAGUCAGUACCAAACCUCGUAGGUCAACACAGACACGUACUUCUUCAGAGUGGUAUGGUAAUCCUGUCUUGGAGGUCAUGUUGCCAGACAACAAUGAACCUACGAGCUAUGGAGAAGCAAUGGUGGGCCCGGAUUAUGACAAAUGGCUCGGGGCCACAAAAAUCCGAGAAAGGAUCCAUGUAUGAAAACAAAGUGUAGACUUUGGAAGAACUACUUGAUGGUCGUAAGGCUGUUGGGUACAGAUGGAUUUUAAAAGUUAGACGGACAAUGAUGGUAAGUGUCACCAUUAAGAAAGCUCGACUUGUCGCUAAGAUGUUUCCGACAAGUUCAAGGAGUUGACUACGAUGAGACUUUCUCACUCGUAGCGGUGCUAAGAGUCUAUUGGAAUUAUAUUAGCAGUUACUACAUUAUUUAUGAAAUCUUGCAUAUAGGAUGUCUAAACAUUGUUUCCUGGACGAGAUUCUUGAGGACAGGUUGUAUGUGAUACAACCAGAAGGUUUUGUCAAUCCUAAAAGAUGCUAACAAGUAUGCAAAGCUCCAGCAAUCCUUCUAAGGACUGGAGUAAGCAUCUCGGAGUCGAAAUAUACGCUUUGAUGAGAUGAUCAAAGAUUUUGGGUUUAUAUAAAGUUUAUGAGAAACUUGUAUUUCCAAAGAAGUGAGUGGGAGCACUAUAGAAUUUCUGAUGAGUAUAUGUUGUUGACAUAUUCUUGAUCAAAAAUGAUGUAGAAUUUCUGGAAAGCAUAUAGGGUUAUUUGUAAAGCGUUUUUCAAUGGAAAACCUGGAUUAAGCUACUUGAACAUUGAGCAUCAAGGAUAGAUCAAAAUUGCUUGAUAAUACUUUCAAAUUAAUAUGCACCAUGACAAGAUUUUGAAGCAGUUCAAAAUAGAUCGGCAAAGAAGGAGUUCUUGGUUGUAUUAUAAGGUGUGAGUAUUGAGUAAGACUCAAGACCUGACCACGGCAGAGGAGAGAGAAAUGACGAAGGUCGUCUCCUAUGCUCUACAGUAUGCUAUGCUGUGUACCGCACCUAAAGUGUGCCUUGCCAUGAGUCAGUGAAGGGGUACAAGAGUGAUCCAGGAAUGGAUCACUGGACAACGGUCAAAGUUAUCCUUAGUAACUAGUGGACUAAGGAAUUUUUCUUGAUUACGGAGGUGGUAAAAGAGUUCGUCGUAAAGGGUUACGUCGAUGCAAACUUUGACACUAAUCUGGAUGACUCUGAGUAGUAAACCGGAUUCAUAUAGUAGAACAGUUAUUUGGAAUAGUUCCAAAUGGCGUGUGGUAGUUGCAUCUAUGAGAUGACAUAGAGAUUUGUAAAGCACACACAGAUCUGAAAGGUUCAGACCCGUUGACUAAUAACCUCUCUCACAAGCGAGAAGUGAUCAAAUCCCAUGGGUGUUGGAUUCAUUACAAUCACAUAGUGAUGUGAACUAGAUAAUUGACUCUAGUGCAAAUGAGAGACUGUUGGAAAUAUGCCCUAGAGGCAAUAAUAAAUUGGUUAUUAUUAUAUAUCCUUGUUCAUGAUAAUUGUCUAUUAUUCAUGCUAUAAUUGUAUUAAUCGGAAACCGUAAUACAUGUGUGAAAUACAUAGACCACAACAUGUCCCUAGUAAGCCUCUAGUUGACUAGCUCGUCGAUCAAUAGAUGGUUACGGUUUCCUGACCAUGGACAUUGGAUGUCGUUGAUAACGGGAUCACAUCAUUAGGAGAAUGAUGUGAUGGACAAGACCCAAUCCUAAGCAUAGCACAAGAUCGUGUAGUUCGUUUGCUAAAGCUUUUCUAAUGUCAAGUAUCAUUUCCUUAGACCAUGAGAUUGUGCAACUCCCGGAUACCGUAGGAAUGCUUUGGGUGUAUCAAACGUCACAACAUAACUGGGUGGCUAUAAAGGUGCACUACAGGUAUCUCCAAAAUUGUCUGUUGGGUUGGCACGAGUCGGAAUUGGGAUUUGUCACUCCGUAUGACGGAGAGGUAUCUCUGGGCCCACUCAGUAAUGCAUCAUCAUAAUGAGCUCAAUGUCACUAAUGAGUUUGCCACAGGAUCAUGCAUUACGUAAUGAGUAAAGAGACUUGCCGGUAACGAGAUUGAACAAGGUAUAGGGAUACUGACGAUCAAAUAUCGGGCAAGUAACAUACCGAUGGACAAAGGGAAUUGUAUACGGGAUUUAUUGAAUCCCCGACAUCGUGGUUCAUCCGAUGAGAUCAUCGUGGAACAUGUGGGAGCCAAUAUGGGUAUCCAGAUACCGCUAUUGGUUAUUGUCCAGAGAGGUAUCUCAGUCAUGUCUACAUUGUUCUCGAACCCGUAAGGUCUACACACUUAAGGAUCGGUGACACUAGAGUUGUUAUGGGAAUAGUAUGUGGUUACCGAAGGUUGUUAGGAGUCCCGGAUGAGAUCCUGGACGUGACGAGGAGUUCCGGAAUGGUCUGGAGGUGAAGAUUGAUAUAUUGGACGAAGGGUAUUGGAGUCCGGAAGUGUUCCGGGGGUACCAGGCUUUGGCCAGCAUGACCGGAAGGUGUUUCGGGGGGCCCAACAAGUGUUGCAAGGCCUCAUGGGCCAAGGGGAGGGGGAAAACGAGCCCACUAAGGGGCUGUGCGCCCCACACCCUUUCCCAUGUUGCUUGUGGAGGUGGGGCGCCUCCACCUGACUUGGGAGGCAAGCCUCCACCUGCUUGGCUUGGGGGCGAGUCUCCCUAGGGGUUCCCUAGGGAGAUCCAAUCUGCCCUGGACGCCGCCCCCCUAGGGGAAACUGAUAACCCACAAGUAUAGGGGAUCGCAACAGUUUUCGAGGGUAGAGUAUUCAACCCAAAUUUAUUGAUUCGACACAAGGGGAGCCAAAGAAUAUUCUCAAGUAUUAGUAGCUGAGUUGUCAAUUCAACCACACCUGGAAACUUCGUAUCUGCAGCAAAGUGUUUAGUAGCAAAGUAAUAUGAUAGUGGUGGUAACGGUAACAAAAGUAAAGACAGCAAAAGUAGUGUUUUUGGUAUUUUUGUAGUGAUUGUAACAGUAACAACGGAAAAGUAAAUAAGCUAGAACCAGUAUAUGGAAAACUCGUAGGCACCGGAUCAAUGAUGGAUAGUUAUGCCGGAUGUGGUUCAUCAUGUAACAGUCAUAACAUAGGGUGACACAGAACUAGCUCCAGUUCAUCAAUGUAAUGUAGGCAUGUAUUCUGAAUAUAGUCAUACGUGCUUAUGGGAAAGAACUUGCAUGACAUCUUUUGUCCUACCCUCCCGUGGCAGCAGGGUCGUAUUGGAAACUAAGGGAUAUUAAGGCCUCCUUUUAAUAGAGAACUGGAACAAAGCAUUAGCACAUAGUGAAUACAUGAACUCCUCAAACUAAGGUCAUCACCGGGAGUGGUUCCGAUUAUUGUCACUUCGGGGUUGCCGGAUCAUAACACAUAGUAGGUGACUAUAGACUUGCAAGAUAGGAUCAAGAACUCACAUAUAUUCAUGAAAACAUAAUAGGUUCAGAUCUGAAAUCAUGGCACUCGGGCCCUAGUGACAAGCAUUAAGCUUAGCAAAGUCAUAGCAACAUCAAUCUCAGAACAUAGUGGAUACUAGCGAUCAAGCCCUAACAAAACUAACUCGAUUACAUGAUAAAUCUCAUCCAACCCAUCACCGUCCAGCAAGCUUAUGAUGGAAUUACUCAUGCACGGCGGUGAGCAUCAUGAAAUUGGUGAUGGAGGAUGGUUGAUGAUGACGACGCGACGAAUCCCCCUCUCUAGAGCCCCGAACGGACUCCAGAUCAGCCCUCCCGAGACAGAUUAGGGCUUGGCAGCGGCUCCGUAUCGUAACACGCGAUGAUUUCUUCUCUCUGAUUUUUUCUCUCCCCGAAAGCCAAUAUAUGGAGUUGGAGUUGGCGUCGGAUGGCCNNNNNNNNNNNNNNNNNNNNNNNNNNNNNNNNNNNNNNNNNNNNNNNNNNNNNNNNNNNNNNNNNNNNNNNNNNNNNNNNNNNNNNNNNNNNNNNNNNNNNNNNNNNNNNNNNNNNNNNNNNNNNNNNNNNNNNNNNNNNNNNNNNNNNNNNNNNNNNNNNNNNNNNNNNNNNNNNNNNNNNNNNNNNNNNNNNNNNNNNNNNNNNNNNNNNNNNNNNNNNNNNNNNNNNNNNNNNNNNNNNNNNNNNNNNNNNNNNNNNNNNNNNNNNNNNNNNNNNNNNNNNNNNNNNNNNNNNNNNNNGGGGGGCGCCCCCCACCCUCGUGGACACGGUGUGGGCCCCCUGGUCUUCAUCUUUGGCGAGGAUUUUUUAUUAAUUAUCCUAAGAUAUUCCGUGGAGUUUCAGGUCGUUCCGAGAACUUUUAUUUUCUGCACAUAAAACAACACCAUGGCAAUUCUGCUAAAAACAGCGUCAGUCCGGGUUAGUUCCAUUCAAAUCAUACAAGUUAGUGUCCAAAACAAGGGCAAAAGUGUUUGGAAAAGUAGAUACGAUGGAGACGUAUCAGCUCCCCCAAGCUUAAACCCUUGCUUGUCCUCAAGCAAUUCAGUUGACAAACUGAAAGAGAAAAAGAAAAACUUUUACAAACUCUGUUUGCUCUUGUUGUUGUAAACAUGAAAAGCCGGCAUUCAAGUUUCAGCAAAUAUUAUGAACUAACCAUACUAACAAUAACACAAAGGUCUCACAAUUACUCAUAUCAAUAGCAUAAUCAGCUAGCGAGCUAUAAUAACAAAACUCAGAUGACAACACUUUCUCAAAAUAAUCAUAACAUGAUAUAACGAAAUGGUAUCUCGCUAGCCCUUUCAGAGACCGCAAAACAUAAAUGCAGAGCACCUUCAAAGAUCAAGGACUGACUAAACAUUGUAAUUCAUGGUAAAAGAGAUCCAGUCAAGUCAUACCCAAUAUAAACCAAUGAUAAUGAAUGCAAACGACAGUGUUCUCUCCAGCGGGUGCUUUUUAAUAAGAAGGGUGAUGACUCAACAUAAAAGUAAAUAGAUAGGCCCUUCGCAGAGGGAAGCAGGGAUUUGUAGAGGUGACAGAGCUCAAUUUUAAAAUAGAGAUUGAAUAACAAUUUGAGCGGCAUACUUUUGCUGUCAACGCAACAACUAUGAGAUGGCGAUAUCUUCCAUGCUAAACAAAUUAUAGGCGGUUCCCAAACAGAAUGGUAAAGUUUAUACUCCCCCACCUCCACAAGCAUCAAUCCAUGGCUUGCUCGAAACAACAAGUGCCUCCAACAUUCAAUGGGUCCCAAGGGGAGUUUUGUUUGCAAUUAUUUUGAUUUAGUUUGCAUAAAGCAUGGGACUGGGCAUCCCGGUGACCAGCCAUUUUCUCGUGAGUGAGGAGCGAAGUCCACUCCUCUUGAGAAUAACCGCCUAACAUGGAAGAUAAUGACAGCCCUAGUUGGAACAUGAGCUGCUCGAGUAUACAAAACAGAAUUUCAUUUGAAGGUUUGGAGUUUGGCACAUACAAAUUUACUUGGAACGACAGGUAAAUACCGCAUAUAGGAAGGUAUAGUGGACUCAUAUGGAACAACUUUGGGGUUUAAGGGAGUUUGGAUGCACAAGCAGUAUUCCCGCUUAGUACAGGUGAAGGCUAGCAAAAGACUGGGAAGCGACCAACUGGGAGAGCGACAACAGUCGUAAACAUGCAUUAAAAUUAAUUUACACCGAAUACAAGCAUGAGUAGGAUAUAAUCUACCAUGAACAUAAAUAUCAUGAUGGCUAUGUUGAUUUGAUUCAACUACAUGCGUGAACAUGUUCCAAGUCUAGUCACUCAAUUCAUUUAAAGGAGGAUACCAUCCCAUCAUACCACAUCAUGAUCAUUCUAAUAGCAUGUUGGCAUGCAAGGUAAACCAUUAUAACUCAUAGGUAAUCAAGCAUGGCACAAGCAACUAUAAUCUCUAAAUGUCAUUGCAAAUAUGCUUACUUCAUAAUAGCUAACUCAGGAACGAUGAAUCAUCAUAUCUACAAAAACAAGAGAGGUCGAGUUCAUACCAGCUUUUCUCAUCCCAAUAAGUCCAUCAUAUAUCAUCAUUAUUGCCUUUCACUUGCAUGACCGAACGAAGUGUAUAAUAGUAAGAGUGCACGUGCGUUGGACUAAGCUGGAAUCUGCAAGCAUUCAACUCAAGAGAGAAGACAAGUAAUAUGGGCUCUAAGUUAAAUAAACAAUCAUGCAUAUAAGAGCCACUAAGCAUUUUCAAUAUGGUCUUCUCAACCCCCAAAGAAAGUAAAAGAAAAACUAUUUACACGGGAAAGAUCCCAACAAGCAAAAGAAGAACGGGAAAUAUUUUUGGGUUUUCCUUUUUAAUUACUAGAGCAAAGAAAUAAACUACUACUAAUUUUUUUCUUAAGGUUUAUUAAACACACAAGAAGAAAGCAGGAAAAAGAAAGUAAUCUAGCAUGGAUAUUACAGUGAAAGAGUAUGAACACCGACAUCUGGCAAUGAGUGUGUGUGAACAUAAAUGUAAUGUCGGUGGGAAAUAUGUACUCCCCCAAGCUUAGGCUUUUGGACUAAGUUGGUCUAUUGCCAGGGAUGGCUUGGCAGAUACCCGUAAGUGAAGCUGGGGUCAUACUGUGACGAAGAAGGCUCCGGCUGCCACUGGCUGUCAACCUCCUCUGGAUCCCAAGAAUAAACAGAUAGUCGUGGAGGCUCAUCUUGUAGCUCCGGUUCCGGGGCGGGCACAGGAUUUCGAUAGGCUUGAAUAGCCGCCCACGGAACGGUGUGAGGACCUGCAGACAAGUUAAACAAAGAGGGAGCAGGCAAAGUAAUAGUCUCAGGGUGAUGUUUAUCAAAGUACAGUUUGUAUUUGAGCUCCCCUUCGCGGCUUUUAACAAGAAAGUCAUGUGCUAUCAUACUCCUAUAAUCUAAAUAAGCACGGGGCAGCGAUGUUUCCUCUUUCUCCUCAUGCCUAAUAGGUAUUUCAAAAUGUUCAGCUAGUCGUGAGGCAUAAAUGCCUCCAAAGAUGGGGCCUUUAGUACGGUUCAGACUUAACCGUCUAACAACAAUUCCACCCAUACUAACAGAGUUAUUUCGGUAUAAACCAUGGAACAAAAUGGUCACAUCAGGAAUACUAAGGUUUCCACAAUUUCUGCGACCUAUCAAGCAACGACUAGCAAAUAAGGCAAAGUAGCGUAAAACAGGAAAAUGUAUGCUAGUGAUUCUUGCAUUAGAAACCUUCCUAGUUUCUCCCACCGGGAUAGUGUUAAUAAAAGCUUCUACUUCAUUACGGUGUGGUUCAUCCAUGGUGCCGUCAAAAGGUAUUUUGCAAACCUUGCAAAAUUCGGCUAAUGGCAUCCUCUUAACAAUGUCAUAUAAAUGAAAUCCUACCGAUGGAGGUGAACUCUGAGGGAAAAAGUAGAAAUUUUGCACAAAAGUAUUUGUGAGUAGGAGAUACUGAUGACGUUGGUCGCGGAGGAAGUCGGUGAGGCCAGCAUUCUCAAUUAAUAAAUAGAAAUCUUCAUAAAUCCCGUCUCUCCUCAAGAAGUCAUCGGAAGGCCAUUCACACGGCCGGACCUCCGUAGUGCGAGGCAAAUUAAUUUGGGCUUCUGUUCUUCUUCCUUUUGUUUUUCCUUCGAGCUUCGGCUCGACGAUCCCCUCAAAAGUCUCUUCAUUAUUUUCUGAAACAAUCUGAAAUUUUUAGUAACUUCAAAUAAAAGUGAACCAACUUCAAUAAAAUUGAUAGCAACAACUCCUACAAGUGCCUAGAGCCUAUAUAAAGCAUUGGAACUACUUGGAACCAUAUAAAUUUGACAUGCAAGCUCAAGAACAUGGUCACCUAUGCAACACAAAUUUGCAAUGAAUAAAGAACUAAAACAAAAA
rnacentral:lncRNA from 1 species